rnacentral:lncRNA from 1 species
CAAGCCUAGAAGCCUUCAGCUUAAUCUUCUUCCUAAGCAAGUUCGAGCACUCGACCGAAGAUGUCUUGCUGCGGAGGAAACUGCAACUGCGGGUCAUCCUGCAAGUGCGGCAGCGGCUGCAACGGCUGCAACAUGUACCCUGAAGCCGAGGUCCAGACCUCCAGCCUCCUCGUCGUCGCCACCGCCGCCCACAAGGCGUACGUCAUUCAUUUAGAUCAUAUAUACUACUCCAUCCGAUACAUAAUAAGCGUCGCUGAUUUAUUAUUACAAUUGUCGUCAUGGAUGGUCUUAUAAAGUUUGGUUGUUGGAACAUAUGUGCAGGAGCUCCGGCGGGAUGGAGAUGGCCGCGGAGAACGGCGGCUGCGGCUGCAGCACCUGCAAGUGCGGCACCAGCUGCGGCUGCUCAUGCUGCAGCUGCUAGAUCUCAAUCUGCUGCAGCAGCUUAAUUUGCAUGCCAGGGACGCAUGCAACGACCAUCUACAUAUAGCUACUCGAUCUACCGCUACCAUGAACCGAUCCAAGGCUAGCUGCACAAGCUAGGCCCUUAUUUCCCUUUGUACGGGUGCAUGCAUGCCAUCCCAUGCCAUGCUUGUAACCCCCCAUAAAUAAAAUCGCCCUGGUUUAACUAUACAUGCACGUACGUGUGUGUUAUCUCUGUGAUCAUCGUCUUAACUAUUACUAGCAAAAGACCCGUGCGUUGCUAUAGAACAACAGAAAAUUGUAUCAGAAUGUCAAAUUAAUUGCCUCAGGCUCAUCCCAUCGCUGUCCAAGUCCUGUGUGGAGCCACCGGUACGCACGAGCCGGUGGAGGCGGCGCAGCCGCCUUUCUCACAUGGACGGCGCCGACGCGCACGAGCUGGUGGAGACGACCAAGAGCGGCGGCGGGCACCGGCGAGAUCCCAAGGGAUAGUAAUUACUGUGCCCGCGCGUUGCUACAGGUCAAUAAAAUCACAAACUGUUUAUUUUUAUUUUCUGUGUAGGCAACUCAUGGCGCUGUCGAGGUCGGCAUGCGGGUGUGGUGGCGUCGGUUGUAAGAUGGAGUAGAAAAAAUCGUGAAAAAAACUGGAGGAAAAGAAAAUAAUGGACAGUAGCAUAUUGGUGAAAAUAACGAGUAGUGACAUAUUGGUUGUAAUUUUAACGAAAUUAACCUACGUCGACCACGACUGUACCAUCACCACCAACUCCAAUUUAAUAACGAAGUUAACCUACGGCGACCGUGACCGCGACCGUACCAUCACCACCAACUCUAAUUUAAUAACCCAAUUUAAUAGAUAGUAAUUCUCACAUGGAACAACGGAAAGUGUAUCAAGCACGAGCCGGUGGAGGCGAAGUCUGGACAUUAAUUUUUUGAUUGGAUUGAUUUCCAUACUGAGAUGGAUACGAAGAAUUUUGGAUUUCAUGCUAAGGAGAUUGAUUUAUUUUAGGAUUGUUCGUAUUAUGUUGUGACAAAUUUGGACCGUACAAUAACUUUCGGUAAAUCUAAACCGUAGAAUUUCUGCUACUGAAAUCAUGAAUAAGACGGGAGGAAAAAAAAAUAAGGGGCAGUGGCAUAUUGAUUGUAAUUUUAACAAAGUUGACCGACCAACGGCGCCCACCCAUCACCACCGGUUCUAAUUUAAUAUAUUGUAAUAGAAUAUAUUGUAAUAGAUCAGUUAAAUUCUAACAAGGGAGUUCUAAAAUUAGUUCUGCUCAAGAGAAGAAUAACCUAAGCGAAAUCCAGAUCGAGGACUGUUUGCACAUGGAAAACAUGGAAAGUUAAUUUCAGUGGAGAAUGCACGAGACAUGCACGCACGCUAAGCCUAAGCUGAUGCAAAAUUAGACUGCCAAGAGUUUUCUAGCUUAAGUGUAAUAAAAAGACCCUGGACAAAAGAGAAAAGACAAACGUGUUUCCCUUUACGUAGUUUUUGUUAACAGUUGAAGGAAAGGAAAAAAAAAUAGAUGCAUCUGUUGCUUUCAACCGUUGGUGUCGGCGGUACGUCAUCUUUUAGAACCCUGCCACCUGUUGAUUCUGUACAAACCACUAAAAUUCGAACGAGUAUGAAUUAUUUAAUCCGAGGCAAUUCAUACAUGCUCCUAGACCGGACAUGAAAACCACUGUCCUAACUAACUAAGAGAAUGUGCACUGUGUUGUCCUUGCGAGGUUUAUUGUCCUUCGAAUCUUCACACCAUGGUGAAUCAAGUGUAAAAUUUAUGUGUAGAAUACAUACGGAGUACUCGUUUUUUCAAUUUGAAGAGUACAUUUAAAAUGAAAAAUUGAGAGGAUGUCUUUCUCAAAAAACAAAUUGAGAGGAUGUAAAUGUAAAGUGAGCUCUCACUACUCUUCUUCUCCGCUGGGGUCACUCCCCAAAGAUAAGCAAACGCGAGCUCUCCCCCAUGCCCGCCGCCGUCACCGUCCACCUGGCGCCGCUCCCCAAUCACCCACCAAAACAACCUCCGCUGCCAAAGCCCAACGCCGCCUCGCUCCCGCAAUGGAACGGGCUCCUCGCCGACCUCUCCCGCGCCGGCCGCCACGCCGACGCCCUGGCCAUCCUCCCGCGGCUCCUCGCCGCCUCCGACGGCGUCGCCCCCGACAGGUUCACGCUCCCUCCCGCCUUAAAGUCCUGCCGCGGCGACGACGGGCGCCAGGUCCACGCGGUCGCCGCCAAGCUCGGCCUCGCCGACGGCGACCCCUUCGUCGGCAACUCCCUCGUGUCCAUGUACGGCCGGUGCGGCCGCGUCGACGACGCUGAGAAGGUGUUCGAGGGAAUGGCGGGCAGGAACCUCGUCUCCUGGAACGCGCUCAUGGCGGCCGUCGCCGACCCGCGGCGCGGCCUGGAGCUGUUCCGGGACUGUUUGGAGGACCUCGGCGGCACGGCGGCGCCCGACGAGGCGACGCUGGUGACGGUGCUCCCGAUGUGCGCCGCCCUCGCGUGGCCGGAGACCGGCAGGGCGGUGCACGGCCUCGCGGUGAAGUCCGGGUGGGACGCCGCGCCGCGGGUGAGCAACGUGCUGGUCGACAUGUACGCCAAGUGCGGCGAGAUGGCCGACGCCGAGUGCGCGUUCCUGGAGGCUCCGCCAGGCGCCGGGAGGAACGUCGUGUCCUGGAACGUGAUGCUCGGCGGGUAUGCGAGGAACGGCGAGGCUGGCGCGGCAUUUGGGCUCCUCCGGGAGAUGCAGAUGGAAGAGCGUGGCGUGCCGGCAGAUGAGAUCACCAUGUUGAGCGUCCUGCCGGUUUGUUCGGGGCUGCCUGAGCUGGCGAAGCUGAGGGAGCUGCACGCCUUUGUGGUCCGGAGAGGCUUGCAUUUGACCGGCGACAUGGUGCCGAAUGCGCUUAUCGCAGCCUAUGGGAGAUGUGGGUGCUUGCUCCAUGCCUGCCGUGUCUUUGACGGCAUCUGCAGCAAGAUGGUCAGCUCAUGGAACGCGCUCAUCGGCGCGCACGCGCAGAACGGCGAAGCGAGCGCCGCAAUUGAGCUGUUCCGUGAGAUGACCAAUGCUUGUGGGCAGAAGCCUGACUGGUUUAGCAUUGGGAGUUUGCUCCUGGCAUGUGGCAAUCUGAAGCACCUGCUCCAUGGCAAGGCAGCUCAUGGAUUCAUCCUGAGGAAUGGACUGGAGAAGGAUUCCUUCAUCCGGGUUUCGCUUCUCUCUGUUUACAUCCAAUGCGGGAGGGAGUCUUUGGCUAGAGUCCUGUUCGAUGCGGUGGAGGAAAAAGAUGAGGUUUCAUGGAACACCAUGAUCGCCGGUUACUCACAGAACGGAUUGCCCGGUGAAUCCCUCCAGCUCUUCAGGGAGAUGCAAUCCAAGAAAGGAGGCCACUGGCCAUCACUGCUUGCAGCAACAAGUGCCUUGGUGGCUUGCUCAGAAUUACCAGCUGUUCGACUAGGGAAGGAGAUGCAUUGCUUUGCCCUGAAAGCCGACCUCUGCGAGGAUUCGUUUCUAUCCAGCUCAAUCAUAGACAUGUACUCAAAGUGCGGAUCUGUGGAUGAUGCCAGGGUGUUCUUCGAUCGGUUGAAGGCGAAAGAUGCGGUUUCAUGGACGGUGAUGAUCACCGGGUAUGCCGUCAACGGUCGUGGGAAAGAAGCUGUUGGGCUGUAUGACAAGAUGGGGAGGGAGGGGAUGGAACCUGAUGGAUUCACCUACCUUGGCCUACUGAUGGCAUGCGGCCAUGCUGGAAUGUUAGAAGAUGGAUUGUGUUUCUUCCAGGAGAUGAGAAACCUUCCCAAAAUUGAGGCAAAGCUAGAGCAUUAUGCUUGCGUUAUCGGCAUGCUGAGCCGAGCAGGGCGCUUUGCCGAUGCCGUGGCGCUUAUGGAGGUGAUGCCAGAGGAGCCUGAUGCCAAGAUACUGAGCUCCGUGCUCUCUGCCUGCCACAUGCAUGGAGAGGUAGAGUUGGGGAAGAAGGUUGCUGACAAGUUGCUUGAGCUUGAACCCCACAAGGCUGAGCACUAUGUUCUCGCCUCCAACAUGUACGCAGGAUCCAGGCAGUGGGAUGAGAUGAGGAAGGUGAGGAAGAUGCUCAGGGACGCCGGUGUCGCCAAGGAGCCAGGCUGCAGCUGGAUCGACAUUGCAGGCAAGGUGUACAGCUUCGUCGCCGGGGAGAAUUCACUCCCGGAGAUGCACAAGGUGAGGAAGAUGUGGUACUCUUUGGAGGAGAAGAUUCGCGCUGCCGGCUAUGCUCCUGACACCACGGUCAUGCUGCACGAGCUGGAGGAAGAAGAGAAGGUAGAGGCUCUGCGAUGGCACAGCGAGAAGCAGGCCAUCGCGUUCGGGUUGCUGAGGACAGCCGGGCCGACGAAGGUGAGGGUGUUCAAGAACAUCAGGAUGUGCAAGGAUUGCCACAAUGCCGCCAAGCUCAUCUCCAAGGUAGCAGACAGGGAGAUUGUGGUCCGGGACAAGAAGAGGUUUCACCAUUUCAGGGACGGGCUAUGUUCCUGUGGGGAUUACUGGUGAAUUAGAAGGGAAUGCAAAUUCUUUUGCAUUUAAACGUUGUACAGAAUUGUAAAAGGUAGAGUUCAGGAACAUGGUAUGCAAAGGGAUACAUCCAAAUUAGCAGCAAAACUGUUUUUGAACAUUCAAAAGAAAUUCCUUUGGUCCCGCUACACCAUUUACACUUGCUCCAGCACGAACCUACGAAUCAGAUGUGUUGUCUGGAAAUGCAUUGACAAUGUUUACUUCCAGAUAGCAAUUACACCAGCAUUUUAACAUCUAAGCUUUUACCCCCCAAAAAACAUCUAUGACUAUGUUACAUACGAUGGAAAGGCAGGUAAACUAAACAAACACACAAUACAAACUAUCAUUAUCGAUCCGAGCAUGCCUCAGAAAAAAGAGUUGUGCUGGCUCGAUCUCAAGUCUUGGCACUGCAUUAGAAAACUUGUAGGAGUUGCAUUUAUCAACACCAUCUCAUCCUAACUCAUUCAUCACUUCAUUGAGAUAGUCAUGACGGUGGGAUGUUUAUAACCAGAUGAUCUACAACCCAUCCUGCAAUUGGCAGUGACCCCCAGCUGGAUGAUCUACAACCCAUCCUGCAAUUGGCAGUGACCCCAGCUGGAUAAUGGUUCAAUUGUUCAGAUCCAAUAAAGAAUAAAGAAAUUCAGAAGCAUGUGCAUGCAUCUGGUAGAAGCGGUACUUUACAUGAUCCACUCAUACAUCUGUAGAUUUAUCAAAACCCGUUAGCAAGCUCAUCAAGUACAGAGAGAAAGAGGAGUGGGAGCUGGUGAGUCAAGAUGGGAGACUGAAGUUUGACAGCACUCACCUUCUUUAAGUUUGGAGCAGAGAAGCUCAGCUACAGAUUCUUCUACACUAGGUAUGGUCAAUAGUAGCAAUUCUUACUGGAAGCUUUGUACAUUGAAAUGUCAAGCCAGAGUGGUUACUGAACUCCUAGAUCAUUUGACAACUGCAAUAUCCCGCGCAUUUGAAGGUAUGGAUUCUCCAAAAGUUUUUCAUUGUUACACUGAAGACAACAUAAGUAGCAUCAGUGCCAAAUUAAUUUAUGAAGGGAAUUAAAUUUAUUAUCGAGCUUGAACUGCCUGAACAUAUCAGCACGAGGUAAUCUAGAUAACAGAUGCAUAUAAACAAGAUCCCUGUACCUUUCCAAAAAAAUUAAUUUAAAUUUCACCCUGAUGAGAUGAGAAAGGCAAGGAGCAUUACCUGUUGAGCCUUUGAAAUGAGACUUUGAAGCAUCCGUUGGUAGAUCUCUGGUUCUUCUGUCAUCAUCCUCUGUACAUCCAAAUUUCAUUAGCGAGAAGUGCAAUAGAACUAUCAGCAAGAAAUUAACAACUGCAACAGGCAUACCUUCAAAAGAAAAGCAGCAGAAUAAUAUGCUACCCUUGAGUCUGUAUCAUCUAGAAGCCCCCUAUUGGUGUUGGGUGGAGAAAGGACAAAUAUCAAGCAUUAGCUAUGCACGACACUUUAACCGACAAAGAUAUGCAGCUUAGAAUAGACUACCUGAAGAACUCAUUGCCUUCAACUUCCUUAAGUGCUUCCUGAUCCGCUGUGCAUUUCCCAAUCAAAAGCAAAAGAAGGGCCGCUCUAAUAUCUGAUGUAGCGCCAGGAAUAUUGCCUCUACCUGUGCUACCGACAGCAAUACCCAAUGCAAUAUCAUCACUGGCAGCACCUUCAAGUUGCAUCAAUGGCCAGAAAAACAAUGAAGUUGGUACACAGGUUACAAGCUGCAUCGGAGCUAUUGCAAGACCUCUCAGAAGUAGUGCUGCCAUUGAUGUUUCACACAACAAAGUGGAUUGAUUAUUCAUGCUUAUAUCUUGCAAUGUCUCAUUCCUGCAAAGGUUCUUGGUUCCUGUAUUUUGGUGCGAUGCAAGGGUUUCCAAAGGGCUCUCAAUGUUCUUAGUUGUACAACCAAAAAGUUGACCAAGGGAUUGAAGGCCUCCCAGUUGUAUCACAUUCGUGGACGGAAGCCUCAGACAUAAUUGUGAAAACAACAUGUCACACAUCUGUAUGAGGAAAGUUCAAAUUAGAGAGGAUUAAAUCAUAAAGCUCAAGAGUACUACUGGUUGAUAUAGACACGUCAUUCCACAUCCAACAUGGGAUCCAAGAGGUAAACAACUACCUUCAGAACUUAAACUGGCUGUAGAACAACUUGCUUUUAGCAGUUAAACUGGACAUUCAGUUUUUAAUCAGGGGAGUCAGGUACAAAAUUAAUUUCAGUUUUUGCAGGUAGAAAUUGAAACUUAGAAGCCUAUGCUUUGUUUCAGUUGCCUACGAAUAUCAACAAUGAGAUCUUUCUAAGAAUCCGCCAUCAAGUUCUAGCAUGCAAGAAUAUUGACACUAACACACUAAUCCUUAUUGCUAAACGGAAUAAGCACAACGACCAAGCAGGUUCAUUGCUGUCAAUGAUUACAGAUGUCCACCCCAUUAAAAACUAAGAAAGGCUGCCGGUCAGUAACAAGUUCACAACAGAAAGCAACAUGCCAGCCUGACAGCAGAAACUGCUAACUGGGAACUUUAUGGGUCGUAAUCAGUAACAAGGAAUUGUCAACAAUGAGAAAAAAUUACGAUGUUACUAGUUUUUUUCUAAAUAUAAAUAUACCAUACAUUGCCUCUUGCAAACUUUUAGUUGUGAACUUUCACUUUUUUAAGGCAACUUUAAAAUAAACAAUUAAGGGUAGCUUGAAGCACAUACGCCAAAUGCCUGCUGCACUUGGGUGAAAGAAAUUCACCUUUAAGAUGUUGAUAUGGUCUGUCUCAUUAUUUUGAACCACGAGUAACAAAGCACUACUCAUAAUAUCUAUAACCACAAAAGCUUUGUCCAGACGAUUUUUGCUAUGAUAAGCAACUGAUUGAUCUUGCAUGUCACUGUCAUCCAAUAAUAAUUUGCAGCGCAUCAGAAAUUUCUCUAAAACAUAAAGAAAUCCCCAUCUAAUGAAGUUGUGUUUUGAUUUCAGAAGCCCACAUAGCAGACAAACGGGCAGUGAAACUUCUGAACAUGAUACGUCUUGGCUGCCAGCCACUUUAAUUUCCACUUGGAGCUUUUGGACUUUAGACCAGAUAGAGCCAUCUGUUUCUUCACUAAUUUCCGAGAGGAGCAAUUCAACUAACCAAAUAUAUCCAUGGUGCCUAUAUGAUGAGAUUUGUGAGUGAAGAAGCGAGUGCAAAGUAGCCCAGCAAAGCCUUGCUCUAUGUGCAAGAUCACCAUCUUCACUUCCCUCUUUAAUGCUGCUGAAACACUUGAAGGAUUUUGUUACUUGGAUCAUGUAAGUAAACUCAUUGUCAAUCCUUGAAAAUGUGCUGACAGUUGCAUCAAUUUUCCCGAUAACCUUUUCUAGAAGCUACAAGUAUUGAAUUUUUUUAUCAGAACAAACACAGUAUUUCAAAGCGAAUAUCAACGUAUAUUGCCGUGGUUCGAGACGAAAACAUAUACUGCAGUUUUUAUCAUGAAAUGAAGUCAAAUGAACAUACUAAGUGUGAAUAGCAGAAUGUUGCACGAUCUACUCGGUUAAUUAAAUUAACAAUGGGGAUUCUUGGUGAUGACUACCGCAUGUUUAUGUGCACGCGUACAGACCUCAGUUGAGAUACACAUUAUAGAGUUGAUUACUGGAGCCCUCAAUGUUGUGGAUGCAACUUACAAGCAAUGCACAAGUUCAAACAUGUUUUCAUAGUUAAUUUAUUUGGUAUUAGGUGUUGAUACUCUUUUGUAUAAACUUGGUCAAACAUAAAAAAAGUUUGGCUUCGAACAAAAAUUAUAUGAUUUAUAUUGUGGGAAGGAGGGAGCAACUAUCUACUCUUAGCUUCAUAAAGAGCUGGUUGUGCUCAAUCCACAUUUAUCACAUACUAGUACCAUAUAGUAACAUAUAGUCAAAGGCAUAUUACCACAUUUAAUUGCUCGUAUUCUGCUGACUGUGAUAAUGCCGCAGAUAUAGCUUUUGUCAGCAUGUCCCCAACACCUUCAACGCCAUGCUUCACGGAUAUAUAGAAUGCCUCUGGGGCAUCAGCAGAUGCAAGAAGGGAGGCGAGGGGCUGAGCAUCAUCAUAAGUAUAUGUUGAAAGACUGCCAGCCAAGCAUGUUUCAUUUAUCUGAUGCAGUACGUAAUCAAAAAGGACAAAGAACAAAUCCCGCUUCUCUUCUGCUGAGUUAGCUCGUGAAUACUGUAAAUGACCAGAAAUUGCAUUUAUUAAUAACUAGACAUAAUAUUGUGGAAAUGCCCAUCCUGCUAUCCACAUAAGGGUCACUAGAUGCAGAAACAUUUGUUAUUUCACGAAAAAAUUCCUAUCUAUGUUGAGCUAUUGCCUGAGGUUUGAGGAGCUUGGAACAAUGGACAGCACAGCAUGCUGAACUGGGGUUCCGAUUGCAUAUGGUUGCAGUCAGCAAUCGCAACCAGGAUAGUCAAUCCUGUCCAUUCCGGACGUUUGACCAGAAAUUGAGACAAACCAAUGUUGUAUUUGGCCUCUCAUUUUAUGGAACAGAAUGGGAUAUUCCAGAUAGUACUGGAAUGGGAUAGAUAAGGUUAGCUAGCUAGGACAUGACAGUGAUGCGCUAGUGGAGACUGACAAUUGAACAGGUGAUCCAUAUUCCUAUGGAUCUUCGGGUCUAUUGUUCACUUGUACUUUCUGCACAACUGAGAUAGCAAGAUGAUAAUAUGUUACAGUAGAAUAGACAAAGUGCUCAGCUGUCAACAUCCAUGCAUGAAACAGCAAAAUCCAACUAAAUAUAAGGGUAAUACCUCAAGACAGAUAUAGUCAACUCCACCAAGAAGAUCUAUCCGUUCUGGAGCAAACUGUGUAUCAAGGGCACUGCUCUGAGUUUCAUCUGUUACUUGGUACAGCAUAUUUGUCAGCAUGCAAAUGAGCUUACUGUGCACUACUUUUGCCCAUGAAUGUUCCACACUAAUCUCAAGAAGAGUUUUAACAACCUGCUCAUGAUUAAAAAAAAAAAGGCAAAUAAGUUCUCAGGCCCUUGUGAGCAAGAAAUAGCACAAUUUACAUCUUUUAGAAACCUUUCGCAGACCGAGAUCAAACUGGCUUAUCAUAUGUCAAAUAUAUGAGAAAAAACCUGACUACAUGCAUCAAAGCCAUAAAGAAGCAGAAGAAGCAGUCCAAGUGCAUUUCACAGCCUGCUAUGGCAGAAAAAUCUUAUGCUGGAAGCCUGGAAUACCAUUCUACACCAAGAUAUCAGAAACACGUCAACAAGACGACGACAACAAUAGCAAUAAUCUACUAAAACCUGUAAUUCAGUAACGCUGCUAGUUGUUGUUUUCAUUUUUCAUUAAUACAUUUGCGUAAUACACAAAUACUCCCUCCGAUCCAUAAUAAGUGUCUCAGAUUUUGUACUAACUUAGUACAAAGUUGUACUCCCUCCGUCCCAUAUUAAGUGACGGAAUAUUACAUGUAUCUAGACGCUUUUUGGGUAUAGAUACAUCCAUAUUUGGGCAAAUUUGAGUCACUUCAUAUGGGAAGGAGGGAGUACUAAAUCUGAUACACUUAUUAUGGAUUGGAGGGAGUAGUGGAAAACAAAAGUGUACGUGUAUUGUCUAGUAAGCUGAAAUUCAUAGUGCUCAACUGAUAUAUGUUUAGCUUGAAUGAGACAUAAAAUGUGUACAGUUUGAACUACAACUCCAAUAUUCACCAUACCAAUCUUCAGCACUUAACUUCUAUAUAGUCCAAAGGCACGUGAAUAACAGGAUUGAAAAAAUGGGAACAGAUAGAGUCCAAGCACACUGUUCAAGAGAAUGAGUACAUAAACUCAUAAAGAAAGAUGUGUUUCUUUACCCUUAUGUCCAAACCUCCAAGUCUGCUCCGGAUGAUUUUCCCUCCAUCGCAAACAAAGUAAAACAGACAACUUAAAGCUGAUGCCCAUACUAUCUCUUGUCGCUCUUCCAUCUACAAAACCAAGAAGAUCAUAUAAAGCUAUCAUAUGUAUCAGCCUAGCAUAAAUAGGAGCUGUCAGUGAAGAACUUAAAGAUGUAGAAAAAUAUUAGAGGCCUAAAUGAAUACGAAAUUCAAUAUUCUAACCACCUGAACUAAGAGAAGAAGAACUUCAAAUAGUAUUUUCAGAAGCCAGGACUCAAACUGAUCGAUAGCAGGGCUAAACUGAUCGAUAGCAGGGCUAAUCCUCUGCUCUUCUUCAGGUUCUGCUGCCUUCUGUUCAUCCAUACUUGGUCCGUACUCGUUCAGAUAAGAGUUAUUUGCAGUUUCACCUUUUUCAACAGGUGGUGCGUUAUAAACUAUCAUAGGCUCCAGCAGGUGCGCAUGAAUCCCAAGGUUUAGAAUAAGAUCAAAAGCCUUUGUUCUUGCAGGCGAUUUUUGAGAGCUCAGCAUACCCUGGAACAUAAAAAAAUAUUAGAAAUAUUUCACAUGUUCCUUUUUGGGAUGCAUACAUGUAAAGAGUAUAACACCUCGAGCAUAUAAAGUGUCAGAGGAGCUGCAGCCUCAGGAUCCAUCAUAUACCUGAACCAAACAAAACAUAAUCAUUAAAACACAAAACAACUGUAGUUCUAUGGUUUCAAAGGUAGUUUUAGCACCAAAUCGAGAUAAGUAUAGUUUCUACGAUUUUGAGAAAAACAUUUGCUCACAUGUCACAUCUUGCAAGAAUUGUACUUUGAUGCAUAAACCUCUGCACCAUUACAAUGUAACUAAAUUACUGGAACCACUUAUUUUGGUAAAAAGAACUAUGGUAAACAUGGAAAUCUUUAGUACACAUACAUCAGCCCAAAAAUAGAAGUUAAUAAUUACAAAAGCAAAGCAUCGAGCAAGCUGACAACACAAGAAAAAAAACACAUGCUUAUACGAUAAAAUAAAUAGCAGAACAAUAUGCAAUUCAGACAAAUAAGAAUAACAUGGCAGAUCAUGUCACUUAGAGAUUUAUGUAUUAAACUAUACUAUCAGUUCACAAUGGUUCGUGAGGCCUGAAAUCUGCAGUAAUAAGAGUACUACCUCUAAUGGAAGCAAACAGCAGAUUAAAAAAUAACGAAAAUAUGCCAACACAAUUCCAGGGGAAAAAAAAUCUUGAGAGCAUUCAUCAAUCUGUGAACUGGACAAAGAAUGAAAAAGGGUGUAAGAUUAUAUACAUGUCAAUGACGAGUUUAAUGAGGACACUGAACGCCACAUCCGCUGAAGGUUGCCGGCUCUGGGUGGUCAAUCUUGAUGGAGCAUUGAACUGAUUUGCAUUUGAAGUUAUUUCUGAACAAACUUCAGCUAUGACUUCAGAUAUUUCAGCAGGGUUCAAUCUUAAGGGUUGCUGCUCACUAUUGAACAAAGGUACCACAAUGAGCAGCCAAUGCAUGUAAGCACAUUGUUAGACAUGAUCGUAAGUUCGUAACACAUUCAUAAACACGUGAAACUCAAGCUGAAUCAUGGUAUCCCUACUAUCUAGCUAACACUAGUACUAAAUGGUUUCACUGGGGCUUAUUGUAUGACGUACUAUAAAUGGACAAAUGUUUCACAGAUGGAAAAUGAGAGUUAUGUGACAAAAUACAAUUUUGAAUUUCUAUACUGCCUUGUUAACGAAGUACAGAUUAUUGUCAGAGCCCCAUCACCAUCAAAAUGCAUGUCUAGCUAUUUUUUUUCUUCUUUCUCUAUAUCAUGGUUGUGAUGGUAGAAAAUUGGUUCAGCCAUAAUUAACUCAGGAUAUUUCAAGUUCAGUGAUGCAACGAUGAUUUUACAAAGUACAUUUACACUUCAAUAUAUACAGUCCUGUACAAAAUGCUAUGCUAGAUCCUAGAUUAUAUGCAAAGUAAAUAAAUGAAAUAAGGAAAUACCUGUAGUGCCUAUACUGAAAAAGGGGGCGUGCUCGAGGCUGGUAUGUGUUUGCAGGUAUGUUCAUCCUACAAAAGAGUAGAUUUUUCCCCAUGUAAGACCUUUUCUAUUCAUUUUAUUAAUCUCAAUAAUUUAACAGCUUCGCAAUAAUGACUUUGUUCAUAAUGAUAUGUCAACACAGACAAAAAAGUUUUUCUCAAAAUACAAAUUUCAUCAAGUUCACAACUAGAAAUAUCGACUACACUAAUGGGAAGAAAAUUUUCAUAUGAGCAAACUUUGAACAGCAUUUUAAAAGUCAAGAUAACCUUCUCAAAAAAACUGGAAAGGAAAAGGGACAGGGAAGGGAAGGAGGAAUGUGUUUGAAGCAUGCAAGGAAACCUAUGCUAUCAUCACAACUUAGUAUCGGUAUACAUGAACAAAAAAACGUACCAAACUUGACUUGGGCCCGAUUUCAUGCGUUUUGAGGCGGUUAUUGCUUUCAAAUGACCCUGUGAUGAAGCAUAAGUACUAGCUGUAGAAGUUGAAGGUUGCAACAAAUCAAUAUCGGGAAAUUCCUGGAUAACAGAAUAUUUCCAUUGUUGAUCAUUGAUCUUUGCCUCCAUAUCUCCUACUAGAAGGGCUGCAGCACCAACUUCAAGAAAACCCUGUGUAUGAAAAUCUUGAAGGCCUGCAAACUCAUUGCUGGUGAUAAAGGAAACAAACAAUGCAGUCAGUGUUUGCAAGACUAUUAGUAUCAUACUUCUAAAUUCCAUUCCAGCCAGAAUGACUGGGAUGCUUCAUUCCAGCCAGAGUGACAAGAAAACCCAUACAAAACACUGACCUUAAACAAUAAGCACAAGAGAAAUACCUUUCUUUGGCAGAAUUCGAUGCUUGUCGUUCACCAUGUACAUGCCAUCGCCAGUUUAAAAUGUCAAAGGAUAUAUACUUGAUAUCAUACCCAUGCUCUCCCCCAUCAACCUUUUCGCUUGCUGAUGAUAUUAAAUCGGAAGGAGUAUGGCUUUCCUUUGAUUCAAGAUGUUCUCUGUUGGUAAUAACUUCUGGAGUCAACUGAGACACUAAGGACUUAUUCAAAAAUGACGAAAGUGAAGGAAGUGAUUGUUUUGUAGGAUUUGAUAUAACGGAUUGAGGGAAUGACAGCUUUGGAAUAUGCCUUGCAACUAACAAGCGGACAUAGUUUAAAGAUUUCACAAGAGACGCGGAAGCAAAGUUUGAUAUUGGUGGGGCAGCAUGAGAGGAAUUUGGCAAAGCCGCUGAUGAUACAAGAGUCUGGCCAAAUGAUGAUGUUCUGUGACUUGCCACCGGGUCAUACUUUACUAUUGUAUUUGCACAAAAGAGAUCGAUCUGACGUAGUGUCUGCACCCUUGGAAUAUACCUUGGAAUGCAAAAUUGUAUAGUGUAUUAGUGUUAGUGCAAGCAAUUUUCGAGAAGAAGUACAGUACUCUGGCAAGGGACACUCCGCUUACCUAAUAAGAUAUCUCUUUAACAAUGCCACACAUCUUGGGACAACCGCUGGGCUGGUUGAAAACAUUGUCCAUGUUAGGAAAAGGAGUAAAAUCAUACAUAUUCUAUUUUAAGAAGCACCAUAGAAAAUGCAGAUCAAAGAGUCAAGAUGCACCAAUAAAUUGUGAAUAAUUUCCCUCUCCGAUUUCUAUUAAAGAAACCAGGGUUCUACAUGAGAAUAAUUCCAAGUAUUCCAUAUUUUCAUUCGUUUUGAUUAUGCCAUAGAGGAACAAGCAAAAUAAUUGGAGCUUAUGACUUACGACACAAGGCUAGAUAAGUUUCUUAAGAAUAAUGCAGGAGCUACAUAUAAUCCACAUAAGCGCAAUAUGGUGGACAAUCAAAAGGUAUUCCCCCCUUCUAACUUAAAAUGGAGGGGGUGGGGGGGGGGGGGGGGAGGUAGAAAAGGCAUUGAAAUAUCAAAGCUGAAAGCAUACCUGCGAUCUCUUUCUGCAACAGCAUGGUCAAUCAGGACAUUGUAAGCCAUAUCAAUGGUUGAUAGAUUGGCUAUAUAAUCCUGCCAGUAUAUGAUCACCUCAUUAAGAAAUGGCAUAUGUACGAAAUGACUUGACGUAUACCAAGUAAAAAGAAUACUAGUGAAUUAGAAAACUUUGUUUGUGUCCAACGCUUACAACACAGACAGCUGUAACAGACAAAGCAGAGAACCUAAAUAUGCUGGGCAGUGAUGGAUCAUAACGGAUAUACCAAACAAUUAAUAAAGCGAGCGACAAAGCAGCGAUACUAACAUAUGGUAAGAAGAAUGUAAUUAAGAAUGAGAAUUGAUAAAUAAAAUGUCCAAAUGCUGAUAAUCGUAACGUAUAAACUGCCUUUACCUUGCAUCUUCAUUAUCGUUUCACUGGAAGGAGAUGGUAAGGUUUAAUCCACCACCAAAAUAGGCCAUAACAGCCUGUUAGUAGCCUUAAAUAAACGACACGUGUUCCGUUCACGGAUCAUGCAGCCAUAAAUACAAGAAUUGGUCAAUGAGUACGCGACAAGUUCCGUAAUGACGCCCCCUGGGCAAGGAUUGUCUCUUAGCGCCACUGAAAUAAGCUGGGGUCACGUUUCAAAUUACUAGACCUAUAGAUGCAAAUUCUGCGUGUUGUUCGAUGGAUUUAUGCGGCGUAGCACUGGCAUCGCACACGGCAAAGCAAAUUGAGGAGCUCCAUAGGGCGCCGGUGACUCGGCGAUGUAUCUCAGGGCAGCAAACAGCGGCGAGCAUUGCCAAAUCAAACCAUUUGCAGCUUGCUUGACGUGAUCCGGAGCUAUGUAGGCGGGGCAUUGCAGGCGUGCGAGGGGCUAAAACGAAUGUUGACAGGAUUUAAAGGGAGACCGGGAGGGAGGGAGGGACUGACCCGUAGAGUCCGGGACGCCUCGGUGGCGGCGGAGGCGGCGGCGGCGGGCGGGCCGUGGGUGUGCGGCGCGGGCGGGGAGAGGCAGUCGGCGACGGCCCUGCGGAGCGGCUCGGGCGGCUUCCGCGCGGAGGUGACGCCGGAGAAGGACGGCGCGGUGGACAUGGACCGCGGCGGCCGCUGCGGGGGCACCACGGAAGCGGCGGCGGCCGCCAACGCCGCCGCCGACGACGACCCCGCCACCCCCGCGUCGUAGUAGUGGCGGCUGCUGCUGCUGCUGCCGGCGGCGGCAGCGGCGGCGGUGGCAGCGGCCCGCUUGGACGGCGCGUCGCGGCGCCGCAUCCUUCUGCGGAGGCCCGUGACAGCAGGUGGCGAGAUCUCCUCCGAUGGGUCUGGUGGCAAACCCUAGGCAGGCAGGGCAGGGCAGUCCUCGGCGUCGCCAGUCAGUCCGCGCGGAGGAGCAUUCGGGAGAGCCAGCCAGUCGUCUCUGGCCUCUCCUGCAGGGAUCAGGGUGCAGGGAUCGUUCCUUCUUCUCGGGUGGCUGGUCGUCUGGGGAAGAAGAAGAAGAAGGCCUCUCCUGCAGUCUGUGGGCUAGCUCCCUCCUAGCUGGUUGCCUGGUUUGCCAGAAUUUUAUUUAUGUUUGUGAAAACCAGCUCUAAAGAACAAAACAAGAAAAAAAUGGUUUUUAUCUUUAUCGAAAAUUGACGUAUUUUGUUUCGUUAGAACAAGCAUGUCUUAACAAAACAAAAGGAGGGAGCAGUAGUAUUAUACUCCUUCCUUCUAAAAAGGCUUUGACCAAUAAUAAUUCAUUAGUAUGUCAUCUGUAUGAUAAGAAACCACGUUUAUCAGGAAGAACUUGAUGACAAAUUUAAUGUGUUAAAAACACAUGUUGAUAAAAUAAUCCUUGGUCAAAACGUUUUUUUCCAAACGGAACCAAACAUCCAAACCUUUGUGAAAAGGAGAGAGUAUUAUCCAAAAUGAAAAUUUUCAGUUUCAGAUUCUUGCCCACUGAAAAUUUGCCCCACUUAACUUUUUUAUCCAUCUAUUGUUAUACAUACUUACCACAGUAUAUACCCAAGCCACUGAGAUGCUAUAUACUUUCCGUUGUUAAACACAUACACUAUAUGGUACUACAUGUUGUCAUUGUGUCCGUCAUGUUGUACGUACAUAGUGGUUUUAUUUAUCUCUCAUCAUGGUAGCAUUAGAGGUUUGUUCUUCCAUUUAAGAUUGAUAUCCGUUUUUUAUUUGAUUUCUAGUAGUUGCGAAAAUGUUCUAACGGGCCAGCCAUCCUAUAUAAUAUAGCCCGCUCGGCCCACGGACCUGCUUCCCAUCGAACCCGAGACGGCCCAUAACCCAAUAAACUAUCCUACCCGUGGUCGCAGUCUAUAGACAGCCUGCCCGACUCUGACGUCUGCUCCUCUUAUCCCGCUCUGGCCAAGGCCGUGCGAGCAGUGGCUGCCAAGGGCCUCUUCCUUGGGGCUCUGUGUUGCAUUCGUGGCUCCGUUUGCCAAUUAAGGAUACAUAUACUAGGUUUGUAGGAAUGCAAAACAUAUGAAUAGGAAAAAUCGUAUGAAUAGAAUAGAAAACCAUACGCAAAAGUGAGAAUUGAAAAACAGAAUCGGCGGCUCCAGAUGCUGUGAUCGCCGUCAGCCAGGGAGGCAACUCUGGAUGGACGUACGAGGAGAUGGCAUAUAUAUUCCGAUGCGGCGGAGACAGUGGACAUGAACUCCACAUCCCGCUGGCGACCAAGAUUUUGUUGGGAAUAUGCCCUAGAAGCAAUCAUGUAUGAUGUAAUUCCCAAUGUAUUCAUAAAUAUUAUUAAGUUGUCCUUGUUUGAACAUCUGAUAUGUAUCAUUGAAUAUGUGAUUUGAUUGUGGAACUAUGUAUUCAUGUUGUUCAUACUAAAUUGUCCUUAGUCAUUGAGGUUGUGCUGGACACAUAACCUAGACUAAUGUGAAAGUUGGCUGAUGACUCGGUUUCACUUGUCAUGGGCAUGGUGAUGUCAUUCCAGCUUACACGGACUCGGCUAAAGAGUUUAGCGAGUUGGACUGACCCAUAUUGAGAUGCAACGAGUAGGUCGUCAUUUGCAUGUCUCAAUCAAUGUAAUCCUUAGACCUGAGGUUAUCGCACAAUCCGAGUUGUGGAUCACCAACUUAGGUUCUGUCAAACGUUGUUCCGUAACAGGGCAGUUAUAAAGGCAGAGUUCGGGUUGACUGAGAAUCAAGCUGUGUGAUGUGGAUAACCAAGAUGGGAUUUUGCCCCUCCGACUGGAGAGAUAUUCUCUGGGCCCUCUCGAGUGAUAUGAUUCGGGAAGCAUGGCCAUGCGCGACUUGGUUAACUGUUAACCGGGUCGAUCGACUAAGAGUUAGUCGGAUGAAUCGUAUAUCACAGAUCGAGAAGAGAGUUGAACUAUUAAAGGGAUGACGAUUAAUCGCCUAUAGUUCGACAAGGUAUAUCGUGAGGCAAAAGGGACUAAGACGUAUGUCACAUUGGAAGGUACGUCGUCAUGACUCGAUGGUACUUGGGAGUCGGCACGUUCUGCUAGGAGCCGCUACCGAUUGAUCGAUUGUGAGUCAGACUCCAAUCGUGUCCAAGUCGCCAUGAGCCUGCGGGGUCACACACUUAAGAGCGGGAGCAAGUAUUUGGUCGGGUUGGACCCGAACUGGAAUUGGGCUGACAAUGCGAGUUGGACUCGCAGGGUGGAUGGGCCACAAGGCUUGGAGCCCACUUCCACUCGAUAUAUAAGCAGGGGCGUGGGAUGCCUAAGGGGCACGGUUUUUCCACUCUCAUGCGUUGAGAACCCUAGCCCGAUUCAGUUCAACCGUCGCACCGGACCUAGCAGUUCGCCGCCGGAGCUCCUCCUCGCACGUGUGGAUACCGGCAGAGGUGUUGUACGUUCAGCACUUCGACGAUCGCGGGAUUGGAUCGGCUGGAUCGGAUCGAGGGACUGCACUGCAUCAAGGCGCCGCAUCAAUAAUCUGCAACUGCGCGUCUAGUGGUAAUCCUCGUGGCCUUCUACCUCGGCUAGAUCUUGGGAGUUCGCGUAGGAAAAGUUUUUUGUUUAUCUCUACGCGCCCGUUCAGAUUUCUGUAGCGCUCUCCCUCCCUCUCCAUUCUCCUCCUGAUUCCUCUGUUGAAUCCCUCCGUCCCCUUGACAUUCCUCUUACCAAUCACUAAGAUCGUUUCUGCGUACCGAUUUGUCUGUGCGUCUUUUUUUUCCAAUCCUGCAUGCUUGCUUGCUUAAGUUUCGCGUGACUUCUUGUUUGCAGUUGACAGUUUGCCGUGUCAUGGGUUAAUGUUGCUGCUGUUUGAGACGCCCUCUGGCUUCGCACUUUACACGUUUUAUGGGGCUUCCUAUAUAUGGCUUUGGAUGUAAUGUUCUUCUUUCUAACCUUUGUCAACCAUGUCCUUGCUUGUUCAUGUGGUCUACGCCAAUGACCUAAUUUUCUAUUCCAUCAUUUGUCUCCUACAGAAUCUCUGGUUAGGUUUUGGAGACCCCCACCUGGCAAGGAUGGUUAGUUCCAACGACUUUCCUUGCUUUCCCUUCUGAUUGCUAUUGUUAUCUUAUAUGCUUGUUGUUAAAUUCCAUCUUUGCAUUAAGGGAGAAUAUGAACUCGUGCUCUUUGUUUACUAAUAGCCUCAAAACACAUUUUCUCCCCAAUUCUAAGCAUGCAGCAUGAUGCUAGUUUCGCUGAAAGGUUCAAGGAUUCUAAAUAAUCAAUCAAUGCAAUCCAGAGACGUGCAUGAUAAUUAAUUCCUUAAAUGUUUCUUUGUGCCCAUGAACAUGCUUGCUGCUAUUUCUUUAUCAGGCGGUUCAUCCGAAGGGAUUUCUAUCUUUUGAGGACAAAUCCAGCGCCAUCAAUGCUGAUACUGGUCUUGACAACCAGCUUGUUGCUCUGAUCAACGACUAAAGAGGACCGCUUACCAACGAGUCAAGGACUAAUGAAGUUCCUGAGUAAUCGUGGAUUUGAUGUCAAACUAGAGAUGGUGAGUUCACUAGUUGGACUUGACAUGCUUUCUGAUUUAUAGUUCCCUGCUAUUUAGUAUUAGUUUAUGUUGACAAAUUAGGUAAUUUCGAUGAAUAUUUAAUCCAGAAGGACAGUGUGUAAAACAUGUAGCACAUUAUAUCAUGCAAACUAGACAAAUUAAAUAGCAACACACAGCAAUAAAACUCAUCUAAUUUCACGGCAUGAAUAAUAGAACUACUAAUCAAAAUCAACAAGAAAGAGCAGAUUACGUACGGUGCUGUGCUCUUUUCUUGUGUUUGUUUGUUGAGGUCGGUGACGAGUCCGGUGGCGUCGAUGUUCAUGCCGGCAGCAGCAGCAGCCUUGACUACCUCCUGAGCAACGGCCAGUGCCUGCGCUUGCGCCUGUGCAGCAGUUGCCUGGGCUUGAAGUUGGGCAGCCUGCUGCUGUGCUUGGAGUUGUGCAGCCUGCUGCUGCUGAGCUAGAGCGGCAGCCUGAGCCGCGGGAUCUCCGAGGUCGUCGGCCAUUGGUGAUGAAGAUGCCGAUGAAACAGAAACGUGAAGAAGCGAGCAGUCCCGUGAGAACGCUCCCCAAAAACCUUAUCGACCGUCUCCCGGGCAGGAUCUCGAAGGUCGGGGUUCCGGAGGCCUGCUCUCCCGGCGAUCUGUGCACGCAGUCGACGGGAUGGAGUAGCAGUUGGCGGCGAACAACGAGAUUGGAUCGUGGGCGUGACGGCUAGGGGUUUUUUUGCGUCGUUUUUCCGGAGGCCGGGGUAGUCUUAUUAUAUAGGCAUGCAGGCGGACUUCGGUUCGGUUUAGGAAACCAAAACCGACUCCGCAAUUAUCGGGAUUUGUUACGCGUCCGCAACGGAUUCCGACUGCCAAAAAGAUAAGCACGACCCGGGACGGCUCGGGCUCGGGCUCGAUCCACGAAACGCGGCGCGCGCGCGUCGUGACGAGGCGAGGCGAGCGGAGGAGGAGGAGCGCGCGUAGGGAUUUCCCUUGCUCACUUGCUCAAGAGGUGAGAACCAACAUACCUUAUAUAUUGGUCCAACUCCCCCUAAACUAGCAAUGUGGGACUAUUCCCACUUCCUCAUCCCACUACAUGAAUGGGCUUUUGAGAUUUUUCAGAAAUUAAUUUCAGAUUGGUCCUUGGGCCUAACCCAAAAUUCCAAUAAUCCCCCACAAUAUCUCAUAAGCACAUAAAAUUGCCGUUGAUCCAAAACUCUGUUUUUGAUAUACCAGCGUUUCAGUGGAGACCGGUUAAGGUUGAACAUCUACCUAAACAAAUUGCUUCACUCACGCACAACUGAACAAUGGACAAACCUUGAAUUUUCAGUUUUCUAUGUUAGAGCUUCACUAAAUUGUUGUCUGGUACUGGGCUGCCGAAUGCUACCCCGCAGUGUGGAGCAUACAAGUCAUUCUCCAGGCCUUUUCAUGAGCUUACUAGAGACCACCCAAAUCUCAUAGACUGCGACCAACAGUCAGGCUCAUAUAGGUGUGUUAUUUAGAGACUACUCUGUAGGAUAGUAUCUCCCUUGCAAAUUAAUGCAACGCGUUAGAACACAUUAAGUUAAACAACCUACCAUACAGUACACGAGAGUAAUGCAUCGUCAACGAAGUGGGAUAAAGAAUGUACACUCUCCUCAGUUAUCCAAUGACUUGUUUCCCAGGUCCUAAUUCACGGGAUCUCCGAUCACAUAGGUUGGUUUACCGCCAUGGUAACUCACGUGGGUCGCAAUCCCAUCUCCCUUGAUGCAGAUUCUAUCACAUUUCUUGAUAGACCCUUUGUAAAGGGAUCUGCCAGAUUUUUAGCCGUUGGGAUAUAUCCCAAUGCUAUUAUUCCGGAGUUUCUCAUUGCUCUGACAGAUUUCAGACGUCUCCUGACGUGUCUUGAUGACUUCAUAUUAUCUUUAGAACUGUUCACUUUGACUAUCACAGUUUGAUUGUCACAGUUCAUAAGAAUCGCCGGUAUUGGUUUUUCAACAAUCGGCAAGUCCAUCAAGAGCUCACGAAGCCAGUCGGCUUCAACUGUGGAUGUAUCUAAUGCUGAAAGUUCUGCUUCCAUUGUUGAUCUGGUUAAGAUCGUUUGCUUGCAAGACUUCCAUGAAACAGCGCCCCCUCCGAGUGUGAACACAUAUCCACUCGUGGCCUUUAGCUCGUCAACAUCAGAUAUCCAGUUUGAAUCACUAUAACCCUCAAGUACCUUGGGGUACCCAGUAUAGUAUAUACCAUAGCCCAUUGUGCCCUUUACAUAGCGCAUGACCCUCUCGAGUGUUGGGUUCGUUGCAUAGGAAACAAAAAAUUUCCUACGAGAAGUGCGGAAGAAAACCCAAGAAUAUAUAUACUAGAUGUAUGCAACGAGAGGGAUCAUGAACACCAUACCCUCGUAGACCGCUAAGCGUUACGAUCACGAGAUCGUUGUUGGUGUAGUGGAACUUUCAAUGAGAUUAAUCUCAGUGCCGAACGGACAGCACCUCCUUGGUAUCCACACGUUCAGCUUCACGUCGUCUCUUCCUUUCCUUGAUCGAGCAAGCGAGAGGGAGAGGUAGAUGAGAUCCCGGCAGCACGACGGCGUGGUGACUAUGGUGAAUAUCCCCACGGGCCGUGCACGUGAGAAGAGGAGGAGAGGAGGGCUCAGGGGAGAGAGAUCCAACUGAACGCUUGGUGUAUGCUCCCCCUUGCCACCCCCCCUCUAUUUAUAUAGGGGUAGGGGAGGGGGUGGCCGGCCAGAUCUGCCCCCCUUUCCAAAAGGGGGCUGGCGGCUAGGGGAGGGAAACCCUAAUAGGGUUUCCUCCCCCCCCAAGUUACCCUUUAGCCCUAGGGUGGGCUGGCCGCAUGGGCCUUGUGGGGGGCAGCCCCCUGGCCCAUUAAGGCCAGGGUACUCCCUCACAAGCCCAUGUAGCCCAGGGAUAGGUGGGCCUCAAGGUGGAAACCCCCGGAUCCCUCCGGAACCUUCUAGAAGCUUCCCGGUCAAAAACCGGAAAAUAUUCCGAACUUUCCGGAACCUGAAAACAACUUUCCAUAUAUAAAUCUUUAUCUCCGGAACAUUCUGGAGCUCCUCGUUACGUCUUGGAUCCCAUCCAAGACUCCGAAUCAUAAUUCGAUAUCAUCAUCAUUUAUCUCAUCUAACCCAAGCAACAUGAAACGUUAAGUGUGUGACCCUACGGGUUCGAGAACAUGUGGACAUGAUCAAAUAUCAAUAACCAAUAGUGGGACCUGGAUGUCCAUAAUGGUUCCCACAUAUUCCACGAAGAUCUCAUCGGUUGAACCACUAUGUCGAGGAUUCAAUUAAUCCAGUAUCCAAUUCUCUUUGUCUCGCGAUAUAUUACUUGCCCGAGAUUUGAUCGUCGGUAUCGCCAUACCUAGUUUAAUCUCGUUACCGGCAAGUUCUCUUUACUCAUUCCGUAAUAUAAUACCCCCGCGACUAAACAUAUUAGUCGCAUGCUUGCAAGCUCAUUAGGAUGUUAUAUUACCGAGAGGGCCCAAAGAUAUCUCUCCGUCACAAGGAGUGACAAAUCCCAGUCUUGAUCCAUACAACCCAACAAGCACCUUCUGAGAUAUCUGAAAAACACCUUUAUGAUCACCCAGUUACGAGAUGACAGUUGAUGCCCACAAAGUAUUCUUCCGGUACUAGGGAGUGGCAUGAUCUCAUGGUCUAAGGAAAUGAUACUUGACAUAAUAAAACAUAAGCAAUUUAAACUUAAGUGACACGAUCAAAAGCUAUGUUUAGCUUUGGGUCUGUCCAUCACAUCAUUCUCCUAAUGAUAUGACCUCGUUAUUAAAUGACAACACAUGUCUAUGGUUAGGAAACCUUAACCAUCUUUAAUCAACGAGCUAAUCUAGUAGAGGCGUAUUAGGGACACGGUAUUUGUUUAUUUAUCCACACACAUGUAUUUGAGUUUCCAAUCAAUACAAUUAUAGCAUGGACAAUAAACAUUUAUCAAGAACAAUGAAAUAUGAUAAUAACAAAUUUAUUAUUGCCUCUAGGGCAUAUUUCCAACAUCGAGUGCAUUCCCAUGAUCAUCUUCCGGAUUCUUAUUGAACCGACUCAGUUUGCUCACAGCAAAAGAGAUGUCAGGUCUAGUUGCGGUAGCCAAAUACAUGAGUGAACCAAUAACCUGAGAAUAUCUCAGUUGGUCUCUUCCAAUUCUGUGAUUUUUUCGAAGCAGAACGCUUGGAUCAUAAGGAGUUGGAGAAGGUUUACAAUCAGCAUAUCCGAAACGACUCAAGAUCUUCUCUACAUAGUGAGAUUGCACCAAAGUGAUCUCACCAUUGUCGCCUCUCACGAGCUUGAUGUUCAGAAUAACAUCAGAUACACCAAGGUCUUUCAUGUCAAAGCACUUCGACAAGAAAGUCUUAACCUCUUCAAUCACUUUGAGGUUAGUCUCAAAUAUUAGUACGUCAUCGACAUACAAGCAAAGUAAAACUCCCCCACCCCCACCAUGGCGGUAGUAUACACAUUUGUCAGCUUCGUUUACAACAAAGCCGUCAGAUGUUAAAGUUUUGUCAAACUUCUCAUGCCAUUGCUUAGGAGCUUGUUUCAGGCCAUAUAGAGACUUUAAUAACUUACACAAUUUGCCUUCAUGACCCUUUAUUACAAAUCCAUCUGGCUGGUUCAUGUAAAUUUCCUCGUCCAACUCUCCGUUAAGGAAAGCUGUCUUAACGUCCAUUUGAUGGACGAUCAGACCAUAUGAGGCAGCCAGUGAUAGUAAUACUCUGAUUGUGGUCAAUCGAGCUACAGGUGAGUAAGUAUCAAAGAAAUCUUCACCUUCUUUCUGGGUAAAACCCUUGGCCACAAGUCGCGCCUUGUACUUCUCAAUAGUACCAUCAGGCCUAAGCUUUUUCUUGAAUAUCCACUUGCAUCCUACAGGUUUGCACCCGUACGGACGGUCAACGACCUCCCACGUACCAUUAGCCAUGAUAGAAUCCAUUUCACUACGAAUGGCUUCCUUCCAAUAGUCUGCAUCCGGAGAUGCAAAGGCCUCAUCAAUGGUUUUAGGGGUGUCAUCUACAAGGUACACAAUGAAAUCAUCACCAAAGGAUUUAAUAAUCCUUUGUCGCUUACCCCUAAGAGGGGCUUCAUUGUCAUACUCCUCAGGAAUCUCAUCGCGUGUUUGUUCAAGAUUUUCCACUGGGAUGGCGGGUUCAGGAGCUACACCAUGAUCCUGAUGUUCCUCUGAACUGACGGGUUCAGCAGGUACAUCAUGAUCCUCUCUAGAUGUGCUAUGCAUAUCUCUCAUGGGAAAUAUGUCCUCAAAAAAUGUAGCAUCCCUGGACUCCAUAAUUGUACAGACGCUCAUGUCAGGUACUCCAGAAUUUACAACCAAGAAUCUAUAGCCGACACUUCGAAAUGCGUAGCCAAGAAAGACACAAUCAACCGUUUUUGGUCCAAGCUUACGUUUCUUGGUGAUUAGCACAUUGACUUUCGCCAAACAGCCCCAAGUCCGUAAGUAAGAAAGUGUGAGUCUCUUCUUUUUCCAUAGCUCGUAUGGGGUGACUUCUUUAUCUUUUGUAGGAACACGAUUUAGGACAUGACACGAAGUCAAUAGCGCCUCCCCCCACCAUGCCUUGGAUAAACCAGCAGUGUCUAACAUGGCGUUGACCAAGUCAGUCAGCGUGCGGUUUUUCCUCUCAGCAACCCCGUUUGACUGGGGCGAAUAGGGAGGCGUCCUCUCAUGGACUAUGCCAUGUUCCUCACAAAAUGAAUUAAACUCACUGGAGAAGUAUUCUCCACCGCGGUCAGACCGCAAACGUUUAAUUUUUUUCUCAACUUGAUUCUCUACUUCAGCUUUAUAGAUCUUAAAAUAAUGCAAUGCUUCAUCGUUUGAUUUUAAUAAAUACACAUAACAGAAUCUAGUCGCAUCAUCAAUGAAAGACAUAAAGUAACGCUUUCCACCUUUGGUUAAUAUACCGUUCAUCUCACAAAGAUCAGAAUGUAUAAGCUCUAACGGUGCUAGGUUCCUUUCCUCAGCAGCCUUGUGAGGCUUGCGAGGCUGCUUCGCUUGCACACAAUCUUGGCACUUCGAACUUUUAGCCACAGUGAUUUUAGGAAUUAAACUCAGAUUUGCUAAUCGCGUCAUGCAACCAAAAUUAAUGUGACAAAGUCGUGAAUGCCAAACAUUAGACUCAUUAUUAAUAGAAUUGACGCUGUUCACGACCUUAUUACAAAAAUCCGAAAGGGAUAAACGGAACAAACCUCCGCACUCAUAACCUUUACCAAUAAAUUGUCCAUACUUAGACACGAUAACUUUAUUGGACUCAAACACUAACUUAAAUCCGUCCUUGCAAAGGAGGGAUCCACUAACAAGAUUCUUCUGAAUGGAGGGCAUAUGCUGCACGUUCCUCAGCUGCACGAUCUUUCCCGAAGUAAACUUCAGAUCCACCGUGCCAACACCAUGAACAGAAGCAUGGGCGCCGUUCCCCAUCAUCACUGAGGAGCUGAUGGCCUGAUAUGAAGAAAACAAGGAAAUAUCAGCACAAACAUGAAUAGUUGCGCCUGUAUCGACCCACCAAUCGAUGGACUGACAUACAGAAAAUAUAGUAAAUAAAUUACCAUACCUGCCUGCAUCUUCAUUGUUGCCAAUGGUCAAAUUAGCAAACUUUUGCCGAAUCUGUCCUCUUUUGCGCUCCUUGCAGUUACUCGCCCAAUGGCCAAGUCCUCCACACACAAAGCAAGGAUCCUUGUCCUUGUUGCCUCCUUUCUUCUUCUUCUUGAAAGUGGUAGUGUUCUUUGGACCAGCAUUAUUGAAUGCCUUUCCCUUUCCCUUGUUGUUACUGUUGUUGUGGUUGUUCCUCUGAACCAUGUUGGCAGUGGACGUACCCUCUUGUGUGUUGCCUUUGGGGCCAGCAUCUUUUGCUCUCGCCUUCUCCUCAACAUCAAGAGUCCCAAUCAGGUUCUCCACAGAGAUUUCUUGUCUCUUGUGUUUUAGUGAAGUAGCAAAGUUCCUCCACGAGGGAGGAAGCUUGGCGAUGAUGCCCCCGGCGACAAACUUGUCGGGUAGUGGACACUUGAAUUGCUCAAGUUCCUUAGCCAUAGUCAAUAACUCAUGAGCUUGUUCCACUACAGAUCGGUUUGCAACCAUCUUAUAGUCAAAGAACUGCUCCAUGACGUACAGCUCACUGCCAGCGUCAGAUGCGCCAAACUUGGCAUCGAGCGCAUCCCACAACUCUUUGGCAUCCUGAUAGUGCAGAUAAGCAUCAACGAGCUUAUCUCCCAGCACACUACAGAUCGCACCGACGACUACAACACAAGCCUCAACAUACAACUGCUGAGAAGCAAUUGUUUGAGUCUUCCUGUGUUGUACCGCCCACCAUGCGCCCAUAGCCACGAGCCACAUAUGACAUUUAUACUGCCACCUCUUAAAGUGCAGUCCAGUAAACACAGGUGGUUUCAAUGCGACAGCAAAUUGAGACAUCGAAAAUUGCCUACACGCAUAAGGUUUUUGGAUUGUUGACAAAUUAGGUAAUUUCGAUGAAUAUUUAAUCCAGAAGGACAGUGUGUAAAACAUGUAGCACAUUAUAUCAUGCAAACUAGACAAAUUAAAUAGCAACACACAGCAAUAAAACUCAUCUAAUUUCACGGCAUGAAUAAUAGAACUACUAAUCAAAAUCAACAAGAAAGAGCAGAUUACGUACGGUGCUGUGCUCUUUUCUUGUGUUUGUUUGUUGAGGUCGGUGACGAGUCCGGUGGCGUCGAUGUUCACGCCGGCAGCAGCAGCAGCCUUGACUACCUCCUGAGCAGCGGGCAGUGUAUUUAGGAAACCAACAAUUAUCGGGAUUUGAGAUAAGCACGACCCAGCUCGGGCUCGGGCUCGAUCCACGAAACGCGCGCGUCGUGACGAGGCGAGCGGAGGAGGAGGAGGAGCGCGCGUAGGGAUUUUCCUUGCUCACUUGCUCAAGAGGUGAGAACCAACAUACCUUAUAUAUUGGUCCAACUCCCCCUAAACUAGCAAUGUGGGAUUAUUCCUACUUCCUCAUCCCACUACAUGAAUGGGCUUUUGAGAUUUUUCAGGAAUUAAUUUCAGAUUGCGCCUUGGGCCUAACCCAAAAUUCCAACAGUUUAUACGUAGCUUGUGUGCUCUGGACUUGGAAACCUUUAUCUCACGGACCAAUGUUUGGGAUUCAAGCUUUCAUAGAAAGACUUGCUUUUAAAUUUUCUUUAGCUAUGAAGCAUUGCCUUCUGUAUCCAGGUCAAUGAGAAGAUUUAUUUUACGGCAUUCGCCUUGUUUAAUUGUGAUGAUGACGACAAGAGGAAUUUAGCAAUCUUACGCGAUGCUGGUCUCUACAUUAGAGAUAUUUCUGGCAUUGCUUGUGAGGAUUGGGAGAUACUGAAGCUUGCAAUAGCUGUCAAGGUGAUAUAUGUCGCCCUACAGAAGAACUCACAGAUUUUCAUGUGGUAAAUAAUACUUGCUAUUUUUGUAUGCGGUCUCUGCUGCUCGGUGUGCAUUUCAUGGAAGCUUGUAUAUAUAUCAUAUAAUGUGUUAAAUCAUGCUCCUUUCAGGUUCUUGCAGAAGAUGUGGUAUCAAAGUUGAAAGGUGAUGCAUGGAAAUAUGAAGGUGUCGCAGUUAAGGUCCAUUGGCUGACUGCCUACAGAUCAGUUGCGUCUAACCAUGGUCUCAGGAUUGAGAAGAAGAGAAUGUUGGGGUCCUUGGUUAGGGAAGCUAAGAAAGCAUAUGAAGCAGAAGAAGCGGAAGUAUGUCAGAAGGUUAAUAAGUUGCAUGAAGAGUCGCAGCAAAAUUUUGAAACGAAAGCUGUGUGACAACAGUGGUGAGGGUACUCCCCAUAAGCGACAUAAAUACUGAUUAAAAUGCUGGGCAGCCUACCAUCUAUAGGUCAAGCAUUCUGAUUCAAGGGUCUCAUGCUCUCUUGUCUAUGUCCGAGGGUGCUCUUUAAUAAGAUGGGAGUCGGGGACAUGAGCUUGAGGUUGUCGUCGAGAUUGGAAUUCAUGGACAACUUAUUACUUGUUCGAGUUCAUGAUUAAUUUUAUGCAUUGUGGUAAGAUAUAGACCUGCAUGGUGUUUGACAAAACAAAACGACCCUCGAUCUCGAUGUAGGGCUGUAUAAUCGUGCUGUAAAACUAGAGAUUCCGAGUAGCAUCGCCUCGCCAAUGAGGAAGAACAGUCACACAAGAUAAAGUAAAAAAAGAAACAUAAAUGAAUGUGGAGCACUUCUCUUUAUUCAAUACUAUAAUCAACUUGUGUUUACAACACGGGGCACUCCAUUUAUAUAGGGGUGCCUAUUCAUGGUAAGAUUCGUAUAUUACUAGUCAAGUAGCCCACACGUAGGACUAGGACUAGACCUUCCAGAGUCUUCCUAAUUCAUCUCCUAUUUGGUUUCAUGACAUAUACUCAACCUUGUGCUAUUUGAAGUUGCAAGCUAAGUUUGCCUUAUUCCAGGUCACUUUUUGGCCUCAACAGGAAAAAGUGACUAAAACCUACUUAUUUCAUACACUGCUUCCUAGCUAGCUACUCCCUUGGUUCUUUAAACUACUCCACUGUUCCCAUGAAUUAGCCUUUAUAGUGUCAUUUUCCCUCACGGUAGGUCACUAUAAGGGGUUGAUUCAUGGGAUUGAGGGAGUAAUUAAUUCUUACACUAUUAUUAUUUAUCCCCUCCUUUUGACUUUUAAGCCUUCCUUUCAGGGAUAUAUAAACCUAAAAUACCCUGGAGAAAAACUGUCCAGCAUCAUGCCACGCAUGCUCAGCGGUGUGUCCAACAUCAUACCACACAUGCUCAGCAGUGUUUCCAACAUCCUGCCACGCAUGCUCAACAGUGUUUCCAACAUCAUGCCACGCAUGCUCAACAGUGUUUGCAAAGUUUUGAAGUUCAUUAUAAGCUUCUUGAGCUAAGCUCAUUGCGCUGUGAUAACCUUGUUCUACCAUGUUUGGAAGAUUGUCGAAGAAUUCCUUCAAGGGAUGCUCUAAAUAAUCAGUGUAAACAUUCACAAGAACAUGUUCAACAUGCUCAGCUGCAAUAGUUAUAACACCUGCUUUUACAGCUUCCUUGAACAUGCCUCCUAGUCGGUAUGGAACUUUUCCGACCCAUACCUGCCUCAUCCCUGGCAUUUCGCACCUCUUGUGUUGCUAGAUAUGUACGGCUGCAAAAAACAUUGUGUCACCGUUAAAUUAAAUGUUGACCUUGCUUUUAAGUAAGCUUCCUGGUGACAGACUAACUAAGUUUCAAAAUGGUAAAAUAUAUGUGGUCAAACUUGUUGCGAGAAUCAAAUAAGAUUACGAUAUGAUGAAGAGGAAGAAAAGUCAAAUCUGCGAGGAAGAAAGUCAAACCAAGAAAUGUGGACUUAAGGAACCAAACUCUUAACUGAGCAACAAGUUAACCUUGAGUGGUUCGUAGACAGAGAAAAUAGAGGAACUCGCAGAUCAAAGAGAAAAGGGAGAGAACCCAUGAUAUGCUUGUUAACACUGCAAAUCAGAAUCAGACCAUCGCUUGCUUCAAAGAAGCUCUUAUCCUGGGAUGCUGGAAUAUUUGGAAUCAUCGAAACCAUAUUAUUUUCCAGAAUGAGAAUAGGAGAUUAGAUUCAGCUUUCCAACUUUUUUUAAAUUAUUUUACUCAUGUCAGACACCGUGCCAAACCAAGUCUGAAAGAAGGAAUGCCGGCAUGGCUAGACACUUUAUGAUUUUCCUCGAUCAAUUUUGUAAAUAUCCAUUGUACAUACCCAUCUUCUAUAAAUGAAAAUGACACGGUAGGAACCUUCCCUACUGUUUUGUGUCUAAAAAAAAGGGAGAGAGCCAGGUGUAUGCACCUCAAUUUGCACAGGGGUUGUUCUUCGGUCUUCAGCUCUUUGCUCUAGGGUGGAGGACGAGAGGAACGGAGGGGCUCUAUUUAUAGCCGCAAAGCUGGGUUUACGUCAUUCGCUUUGUACUAGUAAGAACCCGGGGCCUGGUUGUAGCCUAUUUGUCUUGCAUCACAGCCAGGUUAUUCGACAUGGUUCUGGAGCAAGCAUAAAUUGAAUGGUUGGCACCUCCAUUCCACUCCUGGGUUCGGCCAUAUCCAUAUGGCAUAUUCCAUUUUCUAUAUGUGGCCUUCAUCAUAUAUGCUAGGUUAAAGCUUCAGAUUCGCGGGCCGGUCGUUCCGUUGCCACACCUGUGUUCAUAACGAUCGGCUUAGCCACGGCUCCAUACCUUCGCAGCUCGCGUUGCGUCUGCUCGGCUCCAAAGUGUCGUGGAAUGUCCGAACGUCGUGCUCUCGGCGCACUGGCAAAACGACCAGUCGAUGGACGCGCCGGAGCCCUACAUCCGCAUGCGCACCGGCGACGAGAUUAAUCACUCAGAGAUCCACUACCAGGAACUCCAUUCAAUAGUGAUGUAAUAGGUAUAAAAGACCCUGAGAUACCAUCAGAUUCUGCUUGAACAGUAUUCAGCCACUCGAUAUGAGACAUAAUACCGUUAUCCCUUCCAACUCUUCGUUUAGGCAUCAUCACCAAAUCCUGAGACCACAAUCAGUAAAUAUAAAUAAGACAUGAACAGUGAAAAUGGUAUCAACACAAAGACCUAUACCUCUGUUGUAGUGUAAGAUUUCAGUGGACUGGACUCCACAAAUCUCAGUCGGUGUUCUCUUCUGUCACUCUGCAGGCAUGGAAAACAUAAAUUUCUGAGCUAAGAAAACGCACAAGCAACCUUUUGUAGUCUGUACCAACAUAUAUGACGGACAUAAACGUUAAGAGAUGUUAGAAUUCAAGUGAACAACCUACACACAAACAACAUAUCAAGAGCAAGCCUAUUGGCACAUACAUCAUCCUUUUCCAUAUGUGUCUACUGUGUAUGGCUAUUGGCAGAUUCACAGACAACAUGUGUGGAUGUCAAUUCAACAAAUUCCAAUUAAAGAAGUUAGAGCUGGUAUGCAAUCUAUUUGCACUGAUCAAAAGCUGCAGUCCUGUGAGUACUGAGUACUGCCAAACUACAGAUGUGAACUGCACAUAGUUUAUUGCACAAGUAGCAGGCUAUGGUAAUACUAGAUACCAGUUAAGAUAUUUAGUGUGGAAUAGAAAUAUGCAAGGGCAAGUGAAAGUCAGAAAAAUUUAGAGGCUAGUGAAACAUCUUAUCCUUAUCUUUAAGCAUCCCUGAAACUAAUGUCAGAUUGCCCAUUUGCAUCAAGAAAUCUCCUAUAAGACAUCUCCUUCAAUCGUUUUUGAACAUCAACAUUCAACAGCUUGCAAUUAGAAAAAAAAAACAGCAAAUUUUUAUUAGAUGUAUAUAUAUUAUCCCGCCGCCGGGCAUACCUCCCACCCCCACCCCGCCCCUGGCUAUCCCGACGGGCAUACCUCCCCCCUCUCUCCUGCGCGUCCUAACCCUAGACCCCCAACCCUAAUCCUAAGACCCUAACUCUACUCCUAAUCCUACCUGUUCUACUCGACUUGCAAGUGAUCCAAGGCUCGCCUCUAUAUGCCGGUGCUCUUCCAUCUCCGCGAGCCGUGUGAGACUAAAGGAAAUACAGUAGCACGUACCGGAAUAGCCUGGCCGCCUUCCCCGGCGCGAAUCCACGAGGACGCCGACAGCACGGGAGAACUCCGCCGCCUAUCCUGGGCCUCUGGUCGCCGGCCGGCCGGCCGGCCGGCGAGCUCCUCGAAGCAGUCCGCCUGAGAGCGAGAAGACGAUCCAGGGCACAGAGAGAAAGAGUCGGUCCGUUCAGUAAUAUAUCGGCCCAAAAACGCUUCGGCCUAAAAAGAAUCGAGCCAGUAAGCCCAACGGCCCGGCCCAGUAAAACAGGAUAGGUCAGCCCACCUAUGUCUUCUCGUCUUCUUCCCCUUGCCCUCGCCGCAACCGCAAGCGCAACCAACCCUCUUCUCCUUCUCCACCCGCAGCGCAGCCAGCCACGAGCUCAAAUCUCAAUCGAUCGGAGGAGGCGGAGAACCGGAGAUCGGAUCGGCGAUGGCGACGUUCGACCCGUGGCCGGUCUUCUUCCGUAGGGAGUGGAAGCGCAACUGGCCCUUCCUCGCGGGCUUCGCCGUCACCGGCUUCCUCAUCACCAAGAUGACCGCCGGCUUCACCGAGGAGGACCUCAAGAACUCCAAGUUCGUCCAGGAGCACAAGCGCCGAGCCUGACGCUCUCAGGUCACCCUUCCCCCUGCUUUCUUCUCCCUGCUUCCCGUCGUAUCCUGCCGAUCCGCCGUGCAAUUAGGUCUUGGUGACCCAUCCAGCGCUGUUCGUUCGCUCGUUCGUUGUCUUCCUGCCGUAUCCGGGCGCCAACGUUGCGUCGAUGCGUUGAAACGAGGCAAGACCAACUGAGACCGAGAAUUGCAUUGAUCGUUUGAUCCUGUGGAUGGAUGUUUGUUUUCUGCAUAGACAGUAGGUCGUAGGAAUUGCAUCCCCUGACGCAGUCAUUUUGUGUUAUCCUUCUACAUGUAUUCUUAGGUUACUGUGGUUCUUAGGUUACUGUGGUUUGUUGUUUGGAUACGUAGCAGCAAGCUUCAAGAUGUUGAUGCCAUUGCAAAAUGACUUGUCUUUUUUUGUCUGGACCAUGAAAAUGAUUUUCAGAUGAUUCAAUAUGGUGUUCCUGUUUUCUUUCCUGGGAUAAGCUGUUUCAGAAAAACACUAGUAAACCAUUUUGGAACUACAAACAGCUGCCGUUUAUUUACGCUUUACUCCCAACAAUAACAUGGUCAAAGUGCUUGAAGGAUCUAGUUUGUGUUCAUUGUCAGUCUUUUGUCAUAUUGCCAUGAAUACAGUAUCUGCUUUGGUUGGUUGCUGAGCUAACCGUGAGUUUAUGCCCUCACAUUGUUCAAUGUUCAUAUGUUGACAUGCUGCAAUUGAACCAUGUAUGCUGCAUAGUUGCCUACCACAAGGAUCAGGUUACUGACAGGUUGAUGAUUUUGUUUCCUCCAGGUGAAGGAAUGGCUGCUGCAGUUCCCAGUCAUUAUAAGCGUGGUCGGCAAUUUUCUUACGUUAUUUGAAUGAAUUCACCAAAGGAAUGACUUAGUCUACCCAAGUUUCUACUGUAAUGUUGUAAUAAGAGGCUUUUGAAUACCUAAACCAACAAAUGUCAGCUCCAAUCUAUAUUUCAAGUCAGAUUAUUGCAUAUCUUGUUUUCUUUUCACAUGGUUAUGCUUGGGGCAACAUUUGCGAUGUGGUGACUGGUGAAAAACCAGAUCCUUUGUUAUCAUAUCACCAUUGUGCGUUGCUGUGUGAUUGAUGUGUCCUGUUCUUUUGGGGGGUGGGAGGUAACCUGUUUGGUUUGUUGUGCGCCUGAUAAAUCACAAUAGAUGCUUAUAGCUGAUGUUCAUGUUCUUUCCAUCUGUAACUUUGGCUAUGGCGACACGGAGCAUUGUUGGAAAGGGUAACUGCAUCAGGUAUAUGCAUGAUUGUCCGGGAUGUGCAUAACUGGAGCAGAGGCUGCCCAUGUUGCUUGUUUUUGCAAUGUGAAAGACUGGAAUUGUUCAUGCCGCAAUUCACUAGGCAAUUGGUGGGAGUGCAGCUUGUCUGGAUUGCUUGAUUGCAUUUGCAGCUGUUGAACAAUUUAGUUUUCCAGUGGAAAGGAAACUCGAUCGUGCCCCUCAAGGUGCAGCCAGGUUUAUUGCUGGAACCUGGCUCCCAAUUCUUCACAGAUUCAUGGGCAUGCACAAUACUUUUGUCAGUUUCACAUUCGUGGGCUGUCUCUGUGUGAAAAGUUCCCCGACAUCUAGUAGGUGAUUCAACAAAGCAUGCAUUGAACAAGGUCUUUUACAAGUUGGACAAAUGCAAAUUCAGCGACAAUCACGCCCAUGGGAUGGGUUAGAUGAUCCUCUACUGCAGCUAGUGCCCACCAAGAACGUCUGAUUUGCUGAUGCAGCGGCGAGCACCCGAAUCUUGGAAGAGAUGUCAAUGAUAUUUACAUGGUCUUCAACUUUGAAAGUGCUUUCUUCCGCUGCCCAAGCAUGUAAGUAUACAUAUGCGGGCUCCCUGCGGUGAAAAAUUAAUUUAAAUUGUCAAUAUUAAGACGAGCACACAGUGAAGUUGAAUGAACGGAAAUUGAUGCCGGGGACAAGGGAGGUACCUGGAACAUAAAUUACAAGUGCAAGGAUUGAUGCAUAGAGGUAAUCAAAUGAAAAGUUCCAUUUAUUGGGCAUUCUAAGACAGUACUUCUCUGAUGCCUGCAAUUAUCAAUUUGAGUGCAAAAAGCAUAUUAGCAACAUAAAUUAUGUUGAUGUACUGAUCAGUUACCUUGAUAGAUCUCCUCAGAAAUUAAGAGAAUACCUUAAUGAACUGCAAUGCAAUGUAUAUCAGGCCAACCUCGCUGCUGAUACCAGUUGGGUACAUGACUAGGAAGGAACUAUACCUGUAUAAAUUCAGGUUUGAUCUUUUGAGAUAAUGAUUCAGGUCUAAUGGUUGCAAUGUAAAGAUCUUCUCUUUUAUGAUUGAUGCUGCUUUAAAUUAAAUAAAUACGUGAUCUUAAGCAAAGUUAAUAUUGGUAGCAGUGUAGCUUAGUCUCACCUAAGCCAUAGAAGCCAUGACGGAGCGGAUCCAAAAAGCUCUUUUGUGCCGAAGAAGGAAUACCUGAUAAUCUGCAAUGCGACACCCGACACUCGAGUAGUUAGGUGUCUGGAUGCUGCAGAAUUUGUUUCUAUCCAUGGAGUGUGAAGUGGUAAAAUCAUCUAUAUCAGCGGGCUCUAAGAAAGCAUGGGCCGUAUGAAUAUGACAUGGCUUGACAACCUAUGUAUACAAUACGCAACACACUUUAUUUGUAAUCCGCCGCUUUAAAGCAAUUAUUCCCUAGUGGUUGCUAAUGUUGUGUUUCUACAAGAGCAUCAUUGCACUGAAGCCUGAUCCACCUCAUUUGCAACUAAUUGUACUGAAAAUAGAAGGCAUGAUUGAAUCUAUAAACUGCAGUUACGCACACAUUUUAGUGCCUUUGACUUAAAGCUGAUUUCACUCAUGUAACAGUAUAGUCAAUUAAGCUAGGACAAUCAUGUGUUAAUUUUCUGUCAUUAGUAUCUUAAAGUUCAACUUGGAACAGCAAUAUCUUCAUGCCAAAAGCAUCCUUGCAUCACUUUAGGAAGAGAUUUUCAGUUAGUCUGACAACAACAGGUCCUGCCUCUGACAUAGAGUCUAACAUGUAUUUCUAGUGCUUAUUUCUGCAGUACAUACAUAUAUGCCAGUCAGUCAAUGAUGUAUACCUCAGUGAUAGACCAGCUGAUGACCAAUGAGCUCACCAGAAUGUGUGUCCUGACCUGCAAGCCCAAUCACAAACAGCAUGAAGCAAGAUGAGCAGCAAGAACACACACGGCGGCAUGGUACUAAUGGCAAAGGUAGAAGAUGACUGGGAGAGCAGUGUGAGCCAUGGGCACCUCAGGGAAGCUCCAGAGGAUGCCCCAGGUGACGAAGAGCCGGGAUCCGAUCUGCGGCAGCGUCGCCGACACCGGCGACCUCACCAAUCCCACCAGCCCGUGAAGAAUCUGACGGAGAGAAGAAAAGAAACAGCUCUCAGAAGUCGGACAGAUCAAGACUCGAGACACGGCAGCUGCAAGAUCCAUCUAUCCGGCCGGCAAGGUAAUACCUCGAGGACGGCGGCGGUCUGCGCGAGCUGGAGCGGCCUCUCGACGGCGGCGUACACGCCCUCGUGCCCCGCCCCGAGCAGCGCCGUCACGGCGUAGUACAGCACCUGAGCCCUGCAAAUCCAUCAAUCAAUAAUCAAUCCCAAUCCACUGGCGAGGACACAAGAAUUCCUAUCGUGGGAAGGAAGGAAAGGGACGAACCAUCCGAAGAAGACGGCCCAGUUGUAGACGGAGAGGUAGGCGCGCUUGAGUGCCGCCGCCAUGGCCGCCGCCGGGUGUGGAGGAGACGAUGGGCGGAGGAGCGUGUUGAGUUAUAGCUCUCCGCCUCCGCGUGGACAGUGCAAGAAACCGACAGGGGCGGUUGGGGGUGGAUUCUUGUCACGCCUCAGCUGUAAUUGUAGAGCAGAGCUCAGCCUCAGUUCAGCUCAGCUGCCUGCUACCAGCACCAUUAAUUCAGUACUAGCAACCAAUUCUACCAGCCAAAUCAAUGCAGCAGCAACCACCUGAUUCACACACUGCACUCACUCGCUCGCCGAGCUAGAGGAAUCCCCAACGGAAUCGAGUUCGUCAGCAAGUUCUCGUGCGGUUCAUCGGUUUUGUGUGCGUGUGCAUGCGUGCACAACUCUGCUUCUCAUGUAAUGCUUCUAGAUUUCUUCCUGGCUACAAUUUUCUGAUUGAUUGGUUCAUGGAAUGUUGCAGUCUUGCAGAGUGCACGGCAGCUGACCGAAUAUAAUCAAAUGAUAUCUAUAAAUAAUCUAUAAAUUGAUUAUGAAAUCCUUGAUAUCCGUCGAAGUUUAUGCUUGAUGGAAUUGUUUCUCAACUUCUCCUUCGUGUUCAUGCCGAAUAGGUCGAUGGGGACGAAUUCUGUUGUCAGAACUUGAUGUUUUUGCAAUGCCAGCAGUGGUUAGGUACGAGAAAACGUCGUUGUAAGACAAUUUGACAAUCAAAUGAUGCCAUUCGUGCUGAAAGGAAAACACCGCUUGCUACCUCAUCAUUUUCUACCAUGCAUGGAGACUAUCUUUGGUACACUCCGUCCCAAAAUAACUGACGUGGGACGGAGAGAGUGUAAAAAAAAUAUGUGACAAUGUUAGAUAAUUUAUUGAUGACAAAUUUGUAAGAAGGGUGUUAUCUCUAAGAGGGAUUUUUAAUUUUCAAAAGGAAUUAGGUGUAAACUGAAAUUGGAAAUUUGAGACGGUAUGAUAUAAGGUUUUUUCAAUGGGUUUUCCGGUACCUGAUGGCACAGACAGCCAACAUAUAAAACAAAACUAUAUAUGUACUCUCGUCUGAGCUAUUCUACGGUGCCCCUAAAUUAAUUUAAACCGUCCAAUUUUUUGAUCUAAAGGCCCAGAUUAGCAACUACUCUUUGAUACUCCAACUAGGAUCCACGGAGUAUGGCAGUGGAGUAUCAAACAGACAAGGGUAAAGAUGUAAUUUAACCCGAUAAGAUUUGCGAUUCAGCCGCCAGCGGCCAACCACCCUCACCUGCCGCCGGCAGUCAGCCCGCAACGGCAGCAGGGUAUUCCGACCGUCUCCUCCUUCCUCCUCUCCUUCUCCCUCGAUCUCAUCCAGGACGAUGGCGCCAUGGUGAAGACCACAUCGGAUGCCGCGCACCCGUGCCGCGAAAGCCGAUGAGCCAACGAGGAGCGCGUCAGCCGCGACCAGGGCCUCCGCCUUGGCCCUCUGAGGCGGCGGUUGCCAGUUGAUGUCUUACUUGUUUGCAGCGUCCGACGAGCGCGCACCUGCGUAUAUGCUAAACGCCGUCGUGGCUCCUCGUGGUCGGCAGUGGCUCGGGGCCAGGGGAUGGAUACACAGUCCGCAUUUUGGUUUCAAUCUUGUCCCAUGGAUGCUGCCAUGCCGCUAGGCUGGUGCUGCUCCGGUGGAUUGCCGUCGUUAGCGUCGUGUGGAGGCCACUGGAUGGCUGGAUCAAAGAUUUGAAGUGGCCGGCGGAUGCUUGGUCUCGGUCGAUGCCUGAGAAGAGACCUGCGGCGGGCCGCCGACAGGAGCAUACUCUCCGUUUUUUUUUAUUAAUGGAAAAGUCAAAAUUGUCCUUCUUCCCUAAUACUCCGUUCAGACUAAUGGAGUAUUAGGCACCGUAAAAUCUCUCAUAUAUAUACACAAUAUGACAUCGAGUUAUUCUAAAGUACAGGUACUGAUUGCCAACAUAUGCAUGGAUCAAUGCUGUCCAAAGGGAACGAUCGAUCGACAAUCCUACACAAUCUCUAGACGACGAGAUUCGUUAAAGAAGUGAGAAGCUAUAGCUCUAGCUGGAUAUAGGAGAGUACUAGGGGCAUAUAUUUGUUGCAGGUUACAUCGAUCGUGUAAACAAGCAUCCAUGCAUCGGGGAAGACGAAGAUCAAAACAUGAACAAAAGCAAAGAUCCUGCAUGUGUUUUGCCAUGUUUGGUCAGAAAAAAAGAAACAGCAAUCUGAAAAUAUUCCUCCAAUCCAACCCAAUCAAAUUAAUAGUUAAUUAGUUAAAGACCAAACCAUAGAGAUGUGUGUGUGUGAGAUAGAGAGAUCUAGAGAGAUAAGAUGUAGAUGAGUAAAAUGGUGCAUGUGCAUGGUGGUUAGCUUUAUUGCCCCAAUGGUCAGGAGUGUGUGAGAGGGAGGGCUGGGGAAGAAGGCUGGAAGGAGAGACUGGGGCAGGCAGGGAGCUGCCACCUAGGCAUUGGAGAAAGCAUUCUUCAAGUAAAGCAUGAAAAUGAAAGCAAGUUAAAGGCAAAGAGAGAAUCAGAUUCCCCCGACGUCCGGCCGGCCAACAUGCCUGCCACAUGCACUCUUCUCAAGGAAAUUCAGAAUGCAGGAUCUUGGACCAUUCCAUGCAUGACCACCAUCAACACACACAAACCCUAGCUCUACCAAAGCACAGACCCCUUUAGCUUUUUGUGCCAGUUUUGCUCCCCCUGUGCUUUUGGGCACACCAAUACUGUACUAUAAUUCUUCAUCAUCAUGCAUCUCCUAUGGACUCAAACUUCUAUGCAAAUCCAUAUAUAUCCAUCGAUAAUAAUAUAUGCAUGUGCAUGGUUUUGGGUGAGCUAUAGUAGUCCUGUCCGGUUGUACUUCUCAUCGAUCCCAUUUCAUGCAUCAUAUAUGUUGAAACUACCAAUCAUAUGCUGCUGAUGCAUCAAAUCAAAAGAAAACAAAUAAUGACUUUUGUUCAUGUUAAGUUUAUAUAUGAUCAUAUUUAAAAGAGAAUUUCGCACAUUUGUUAGUUCCAAUGAUAAACGUGGAUUCAUACUAUGCAUGCAUGUGUCACACAUUUACAACACAUGUAUGACAAAUGUAUAAGGCAACCCUAAAGGAAAAUUUGUGCUAUUUAAAGAGGCUGCAAAGUAAUGAUAAAUGUGUGUUGUAGAAUCCAUUUAAAAAGGUAUAUUGUAAGAGAUAGCAAUAUAUUGCUACUGAAAGUAUUGCACUUUUAUACCUCCUACGUAUGUACAUAUAUACUCUAUAUGCCCUACAAAGAUACUUAUAUUCCUUUUGCUACUUUUUGUGUCUGCAUCAUGCACUCAUGUGCUUGGGGAUUCGAUUGCAGGGCCGGUCGAGAUACUGAUCAGCUACUAUAGUAUAUAUACACCCCUUAUUAACGGUACAUUAUUGGUUAUUUGAUCAUUAAUUUACACAUUAAUCUUUUCAUGGACUAUCACAUCCUUUGCACAUAUAACGCAUGCAGCGUGGCACACCCUCGCUCCUUUUCGAUCAGUUUGUUUAGACCUAUCUCAAAAAGCGCUAGAUCAAAUUAUGAUGCAUUGUGUAUUAUUCAACUGUAUAGAAAAAAAAGGCAAUUUAAAGGGCCUAGCAUUUUGACUAAAAAAGUUACGCUACUCUUUCACCAGGCCACUUACAAGAUGAGAAGAACUUGAUUAACUACUAAGAACUUAGCGUACAUUACAUCAAGAUGACAUGUCCAAUCAAAAUAAAUUCAGCAACAAUUAAUAUGCUCUCGCGCUCUUCAAUCAUAAAUCGGCUACAUUACACAAUUCAGUGCAUAUAGAUGGAUGAUGAUCACAUAGAAAAAAAAGAGUGAACCACCGAAACGGUGUACAAGUGUAGAUCUCCAUCGAUCAAUGAACAAGCUAGAAAACAACAUCUUAGAGUCAUUUUACAAAGGUAGAUCAGAUAUGACAUAUGAGAAAGAAACGACAACACAAAGUAUUAGAUUAUUGAUGGCACGAUACGAUUGAUCUAGAACAUAAGUGUACCCACAGACAGAAUGCAUGAAAAAACGUACUAAAAUUAAUUAGAGCUAUAGCUUAAUUAGAUUGGAAUAGGAUACCAUGCAUGCAUAACGAAUCCCAGCAUGCAUGCAGAUGCAGGAGCAGGACUGACGACACACACACUUAGCAGUUAAGUAAACAACAAACAACACAAAUUUAAGAGCUAGCUAGUGACUGAUCCAUGAAACACUCGAACAAAACAAAGGUUUAACUAAUUCUCGUAUGCAUUGAUAUCCCCCGCCCCCCUCCUCUCCAUCUUGUAAACAUAUCCUGAAGAUUUUAUACACACCAUUAAUCCCUCGUUUCUCUCCAUGCAUACUAAUCUAGCUAUAGCUAGCAAGCAAACAAGCUCUGUUGAUCGACCAUGAAUUAAGCUCGAUCGAUCGUCACAAAGAACUUGCAUGCAAGAUGUGGUAGCUAAUUACCAGCUGCACUACUGCUUGAAUAGAAAGCAUAGCCGCCGCCGCCAUUGACGACGUGCUGAUGAUCUCCAUACAUGCUGCCAUUGCCGCCAUGCCUGCCGCUGCUAAUUUGCGCGUAAUCCUGUUGCUGCUCUGAAGAUCUCUUCCCCGGCGCCGGCGGCAGCUGAGCCAUGUGGUGGCCGCCGCCGAAGUGGGCGUUGUCGUCCCCGGCGCCGGUGUGCAGUCCCAGGUGGAACAUGCCCUGCAUCGUGGCGGCCGGCAAUGGCAUUGGCUGCCCCAUGCCCAUGUCCAUGGCCUGCAGGAACGGGAAGCUCUGCUGCAUCUGCUGCGCCCACUGCUGCUGCUGCUCUUGCUGCUGCAGGAACGGGAAGCUGCUGCUGCUGAGGCCAAGAUCAAACAUGUUGCUGCUGUUGUUGUUGCUGCUGUUGUUGCAGAACAUUGACUGGAGAGUACUACUCUGCGGCGCCGCUGCCGCAGUGCUGCAAGUAGUAGUGGUGGCCGGCGCCGGAGAAGAAGACGCAGCUGCAGCAGCGGAGGUGGAGGAGGAUUUGGGCUUGGAGGAGCGCUUGGCGUGGCGGCGGUACCCGCCGCCGACGGGGACGUUGCGGAGGGCGCCGCCGCGGGUCCAGUAGCGGCGGCAGGCGCGGCAGAAGUGGCGGGGCUGGGUGAGGGAGUAGUUGUUGAAGUAGCAGAACUUGGUGUUUGUGGAGUCGCAGCGCGGGCAGUUGAGCCCGGGCUCCGGCUGCGGCACGCGCGCCAGCCGCGCGCGCUCCGACAUCGACAUCGCCUUGCUGCUGCUGUUGUUGUUGAUUGCUGCUUCAUCCCCUCCGGCGCCGGCCGCCGUGGGCGCCAUUACCUGCAGUCCUCCUCCUUCCUGAUGGCCCAGCUGGUUGUUGCCGUUGCCUCCAGCAGCAGCAGCAGCUGAAGGGGAAGAGCUAGUGAGAUGGUCGCUGCCAUUAGCUAGUUGCUGGAGCUGCAAAAUUUACAGGCAAGCAUGUAUGUCAGCAAAAGAUUGAUCGAUGCAUAUUCCAGGAGAGGGAGAUACACAUAUGCAUGAUGGCGCAAUCAGCAAACCCUAGCUAGCCAGUAAGUAUAUAUGCUCUCUCGAUCUCCUUUCUCUUUGUGUGAACAAAAUCUAGCUUAUUGAGGGAAUAAUAAUCAAUAAGCUAAGAUAUGUAGCUAGAUCGAAGAACUGCAAAUUAAAUUGAAAUUUUUACCUGGUUGUUGUGGUUGGUAUUCCAGCAGCUUGAGGAGUCUAGGAAGGCCGGAGGGAAGAUCAUGCUUCCUGCUUGCUUGAUCUCUUGUUGAGUAACUAUCAAGCAGCUAGCUACUAGAACUAGAGCUUGAGCUGGAAAAGAGAGAGUUGUUGAGACUUGAGACAGAUGUGUUUGGGCGGCUGGAGGUUGGAGAGAUAGUGGGAAGCAGAGACUUAGCGGCUGGGGAAAUGGAAUCAGACCAAGGCAAAGAGAGAAGGAAUGAGAUGGAAGCUAGGCUAGCUAGAGAGACAGGGAGGGUCUAGCUCUUGACUGCUUUUAGAGCCGGCCCAGCUGAGAGAUGGAGAAAAAGCAGAGAGAGAGAGAGCGCCAGGUUGCAAUGCAAGUAGCUGCUAGCAAUUAUAAGAGAGAGUGAGAGGAGGACCUCAUCUUGUUGUUGUUUGGUUCCUUUAUUUUGCAAGCUUUUCCUUUUUCAUCUUCUUUUUCUGGUGAGCGCUGACGGGGUUGAGUGAGUGCUACCCAUGCUGAUGAUGCAUGCAGGUAGAUACUGUUUGCAAUAGCUUGCUAAUUAGCUAUAUAUAGCUAGUUUUGUUGUCACCAUAAUUAAUUGAUUUAUGGACAACCUCAUACACUUCUUGAUUUGGUACAAACUUAAAUUCCACGAUUAAUUAAUUAAAUAAUUCGUAGUGCAUGUGUUUGGGUUUAUUUCAGACCGGAUUCCACUGUCAAACAGAUAACAUAGCAAAAAGGUCGUUUCACCCUGCACACACUUGCUCUUGCAGUCCUGGGCAGCAAGAACACACCCAGAUCAAGCCUAAUGGCAAGAGGUUCCGUUAAUUUGUUCAUUUGCUUUCGUUGUCGGGCAGAUUUUGUUUAUGACUACCUUGGUCAAAAGGAGCACAAUUACCGACCAAGUGUCCGUAUUUAGUUUGGGUGUGUGGCAGACUAGCUAGUCAUCCAUAAUAAGGGCCGCCUCCAUAAUAAGUGUCGAUCUUAACUUUGGUCCGGAAAACUAUAAACAUAGGUAUCAGCAAUUAACAAGUCAAUAAAAACACUAAUUAAAUGUCUUUAAAAUUGUACACCUAAAAAUCAAAACUUUCCUAGAAUGAUUGAAGUCCAAAAUGCCGUCAGCAUGAACAAAUAGGUGUUUGAAUCAAGCCAGUCAGCAUCCAGCAAGCUUAAUUAUAAGUUUAUAACUCAUAUAAGAGCGAACUUAAGAAGAAGCAAACAAGCUGAUGGGAUAUCAGAUGGAAGGACAUGCCAAAAAUUCUGAGAUGGUCACUGUCUUGUCUCCAUCUAGCCACUGUUUGAUUCAUGGUACACUCACUGUGCCCGUCCACAGUCCACACAAUCCAUAAUCGCAACAUCUCACCAGUUAAUCAAGAUACUAUUUCAUAACACCACAAGUCUUUAAUGUUCCAAGGACAUAUAUAGAAAGAUUAAACUAAUGGUUAAAUUGCACAUCACGGAUUAUGCUCAUACUAGCAUAGUGACCCCCCUCACCAGUGGCUGGCUUCUGGGAACAGCCACUGGUGAGGGUUCAUGGAACUAUGAAAGAGGCAUUUUGUAGUAGGCUAUGGAAUCACUAAGAAAAAAAUUAUAGGUAAAGAAAACAUGAUAGUCAAACUAUGGGCCAAGCUUGAUGAUAGGCUUUGUUUGAUUUGAAUUAUGAACCCAAACUCAUGGAAAUUGGAGAGGAGCAAAAAAUAGUAGAAAAUUGGGAAACAUUAUGACUUGCUGUUAUAACUCACGGAUUUGCAAAGUUUGACUUGUCAAGGGUGAGAAGAAGAAUGUUCGGAAGGAGUGAGCAGACAAUCGCCGGAUCCAAACUUUAUAAGUAGGAAGAUAUAUCUAAAGCGUCUAUUUUAAGAAUGGAUGCAGUACUUAGAGUUUGUGCUUCUUUUGUGCGUUAAAGUGGUUGAAAACUGAGAGAGAAUAGAAGGAGUGUGCCAAAAAGGAGAGUGCAUGUGCAUACUUCAAAUUGAUCGGUCGCUAGCUAGUCAGAUGAUAAUCAGAGGUGCCUUUUCUUAAUUACAGAGGUUGAAAACUCAAAAUACUAGUAUGAUGGAGACAUCUUAUCUAAUCAGAGGUGCCUUUUCUUACACUGCUAAGCAGAGGUACUUAAUUAAUCUAAAGUGCAUUAUAAAGCAGAUCCAAUUAAUUAGUGAUGACACUAUUGGAGUUUAACAAAGUUAGGAUUGCUUAAAUAUGCAACUUUUAAUUUCUAGAGGGUAUCAGGAUCGAACAGACAUUCUGAGAAGUAAACCUUGAAUCUUUAUAUAUGAGUCUUUCUACAGUACCCUAGAAUUAAAUUAGACCAUAUAUUUUUUAAAUCUAAAGGCUCAGAUUUGUUGAUACUCCCAACUACUCUGAUUGAGGCGUGUAGAGUAACAGUAUGGAGUAGUGAAAGCAGCGACCUGGAGUAACCUCCCCCCUCCCCCAAACCACACACGACCGUGCCCCACCACCGCAUCCAACUCUGUAGAAGAGCUCCCCGUUCGCAGCAGCCGCCGCCGGAGACCACCGCCGGCUCCCCUCCUCCUCCACCCCUGCCCCGACGGCCUCCCCUGGCAACUCCACCCACCGUGUCCCAGCUGUAGCCACAUCGCAGCUUCGCGUCCGCCCGCGCUCGCCAUGGUCGAUGUCCACGGUGCACUGACGCCGGCCUAUUGAAGCCACCCCGAGCUUGUCAAGCACCUCGAACCACCUCCUAUCUCCCUCAAUUACUUCGGGCUAGAGCAUAUAAUCAAUCUCACGCGUCUCCACACGCUCUCUAGUUAAGCUUUGGGCUGGGCGUAGGAUGGCAGCGGCAGCGGCGUGCGCUGGGGCGAGGGCGGCGGCGGACACAGAAUUAGGGAGGAGAGAGGGAGACAUAGUUUUUCCCUUUUUUUUUACUAAUGCAAAAAUGUGAAAUGACUGAUAUGCCCUUCUCUAAUACUCCAUUGGAGGUGGAUGGAGUAUUGGGCACAGAAGAAUUUGCCUUAUAUAUUGAUCGAGUAGUUUUCAGUUUAUUCGGUAACAACAUGUACUUUCUCCGUCCAACAAAGAAUGUUUCAACUUGACUAAAUUUGAGCAUCCUUAUUUUACUUAGACAGAUCGAUCAUCUAGAUAUUCAAACAUCGCACUAGAACUUAGUAAAAAGCUGCACAUAAUUGGAUACCCAUAUAUAUGUUCGCUCAAUAAUUAAUCCCAGUAUAUAUUGAGGUAUUUAAGUGUGAUAUACUCAUAUGUUAACCAAUAUCAAUCUCUAACAAAGAGCUUAAUUAGCAUAUUGACUAAUAUAGUAAUUAAGAAAUGCACCAGUUAUCUCAACCAAAAGUCUGAAGUGAUGGAAAGAUACUAGCUAGACAAUUUAUCUGCCCUUUGGCCUACUGUGACGUUUGUUUGUGGAGCCACAAAUAUUAUUUUUAAUAUUGUAUUUGGCCAGGAUUUGAACCGAGAGCUCUGAUACCAAGUUAAUUAUUGAAUUGUAUGUCAACCAAAAUCUCUCAAACUAAUGAAAAAAGACUAGACAAUUGAUUUCAACACCGACCGCCAUCCAACCAGAACAGGUAGCAGGAACAUUUGUGGAGAAGACCAGAGAGAGGCGCUGCAAGACGAGAGGCACUGGAUCGGGAGAAGAGAUCUGCGUUGAACCAAGAGAAAGAAGAGGAGCGAGAGCUUGGUGUUACAUAUGUGACUAUGUUGUUGUCCAUCAACUCGAAGUCAUGACUCGGGCGAAUGGCUAAAACCAUCGUGCUAACAUUGUUUGAAGAAUCAUCACGGCGUUUGGAUCGUCUUUAAUUUUCACACCUAGAGAAAACGAUAGGACAUGGUAUAAGGAGAUAAUGGGUCAAGUAAUUAAUUACUAGUACAGCUUUGCCUCUUAACACUAGUUAUACGGAAUCAUCUUUGCUUUGAGACCGGCCGUAAAAUAUUUGUAGGAGGAUAUACGCCGAAGCAAAUAUGUGCAUACUAGUAUAUCUUGAUAGAAUCGUGCCACCCUAGCUAUUUGCUAGUACUAGAAAAGGAUGCCAAUACAAUUAAGCUAUCCACCAGAAGAGAAGAAGCAGUAUACUCAUACAUUGUACUCCAUGCAUGCAUGUAUGCUAAUUAAUCUAUAUAUCCAGCCGCGCUAGCUAGUCAAUAUGCUUAACAUGAUGAUUAUUGUGUUCCUGGCGUGUGACUUUUUGGAGCAAAGCUCGCAUCUCAAGGUUGGAAGCUCGCAGCUCAAGGUUGGAAGCAUGCAACUUCCUCAUCUCCUCCCGGAUCCCCUUGAAUUCUUCCUCGUUGGCCUUCUUAACAUUGUACUGCACCUCGUUUCGCACCCUCGGACCGAACACCGCCAAAGCAAAAGCCGACAGACCCACAGUUAACAUCCACGAUCCCUUUGCAAUAUAAUGCACGCAGCCAUCAAUCAGUUCAGAUUCAUUAUCCAUAUCAUGGAGCUAGUACUACACUAGUUAAGCAUCAUACAUCGAUAAUAUAUAUUCCCUCCGUCCCAUAUUAAAUGACUCAAAUAUGCUUAAAAAACGUUUAGAUACAUGUAAUAGAAAGUCACUUAAUAUGGGACGGAGUGAGUAUCAAAUUGAGAGUAAAAUACAUAUGCAUAUUCAGAGAAUUGAACCUCCAUUAUCUCGGAGGAGGCAGAGCAGGAGGAGGCCAUGGAGCGUUGGAUCACGGCGGCGGACGGCAGGCCGGCGACGAGCCGCUGGCGAGCAGCGUUAGCGGCAGCAGGUAGGCAAGAGCAAGAGCCGGGCCGGGUGUUUCCUGGACCGUGUCCACAUCUGACACCCUUCCGGGCCCAACAAAGUCAUCCUUACUUCUGCCCUUUUCCUUUGCUUGAGAAAAAAGAAAUUUUGAUGUGUUUAAAUGGUGGCCGAACUAUACCCUACAUUUUUUUUUAUCAUGAUCCAAAAACUGGUGUUUGUUACCAAAAUUUUGGUAAGCUAAUUCCUCUUUGACAAAUCUAGUUUGUUUUUUCUUGCUUCUUUGUUGGCCAACUCUCCCAAGCAAAAUCAUAACAAAAAUAAAUUUCGUCCAGCCAAUUCUUGGUACGGUAAACGUAGGCUAGAUUCUACUGGAACUAAAAACAACAGACAGAGCCGUCUCGGAUAGUUGACCAUCCACACAAUUUAUCUGUGUAUUAUGAUCAUGGAUGUUACAUGAAGGGAGUGUCGAUUGCUGCUAGCAAUUUGACCUGUAACUCAUGUGUUGGGUCAUUCGGACGAUAUCGAAAGCGAGAACCCCAGUCAGGGUUUACAAGUUUUGCUAGCUACUCAGUUCGAACCCAACAAUCCACAAGAUAUGCAAUUACCAACUGAGGAGAGUUUGAAUGAAAACAUAUAGAAAGCAGAAAUGAUCAACUGAUGCUCUCUCAAGCGCAAACUCCGGCUGGCCGUGGCCCGUCUUCAAACUCAGCUCUCCUUGCCACUGCCGCCGCCGCCGUCGACGCUCUCCACCGCCGGAAUGGUCUGCAGGAUCACAAAAAAAAACCAAGAGAUGCCAACAUGGGGGUGAGCAGGCUCGCAGGCAUUGCGUCGAACAGGUUGCGUGCAUGGGCAAGCAGGGGGUGGACAGACCAUGUCGGGCUUGUAGAUGUUGUGGACGACGGAAGCCCCGGCGAGGAGGGAGACGACGACCACCACGGAAGACCACGCCAGCGACGGAGUCCCCGUCGGCAGCCGCCCGCCGCCGAACUUCUUGCCGCCGCUCAUCCUCCCUCCUUGAGCCGCCGUUGAGAAGAUGGUUGUGCCUGUGUGGAAUCUGAAGAAGAAAGAAUCUACUAGCAAAACUAAAAGGAGGUGUUGCGUUUGGGCUAACUGAGGAUGGGCCUUGUACAAAUGGGCCAACCUCGCUGAGUCCGGACGAUGAUUUGGCCCAUUGCAGCUGCCCAAUAUUGGAUUAUUGAUCGUGUUGUCUAUAUUGCAGAUUCUUUUUAUUUUUUAUUUUUUUGCGAAUGUCUAUAUUGCAGAUUAAUUUGCAGCCGGGAAGAAAUUGGAGGAGGAUGGAAUCACACGUAGACACAAUUACACGUAUAUACGCCAUGUCAUUAUCUGAUGAUUCAUCAGUUGAUCCAAGUUGCAUUAUUAUUAUGCUGUUGGUAAGAAUACAAUCCUGCAUACAUACAUGUCGACUGGUGAUUUGAAACUUGACGUGUCCGUCGCAGCUCAUGCCCAUGGGGACGAUGAGAGCGAAACAUAAACAAAUAAUUUGUACCAACGCCAAUGUUGCUAGUCCACGUCAUGCAUGCAACUUGGUCGACCUAUUGCUAUAUAUUAGGCUAAUUACUUGUUACAGUUAAAUAUAUACACGACAAGAAGAAGAAAAGUUUAUUUUUUGUUGUGCCGCUUCCUCUCACGCCUGCAGCACGCCGUACCGGUGGCAAGCAUGGCUGUCGAUAUUUUCUUUGGCCAUUCCUGCAAACUAAUCUUGGGUUUCUGUCGAGUCAUAUAUGCUGCCAAAGAGACAGCGAAUAAGCUAAUGCAUAUAUGAUCGAGCAGAUAAAUAUGAGUUAGCAGAUCUUAGAUGCAACUGCUCUGCUCCUGCCCGCUGUGUAUACUGAUAUAUCCAUUGAGCUGGGUGGAUUAGAUCUUUCUGGAUCGGAGCCAACAUGUUACUAAUUUCUUGUCCCCACUGCACACAUGAUUUAGAAUCGAACACAUACCAGGUCUACGUUCCAACCGAAAUUUAGAACAGACUUCACGUGUGUAUAUAAUCACCAAGCUUAGCUUAGCUUGGAUAGAUGGUAGGUGUUGAACAAUGACAAAUCAAUCACCGUGAAUGCAUGCGCGUAUAGGACUGCUGGUGGCUUAAAAUGAAUUGAUCGACGACCAAUAUGAUAUGUAGAGUUGGUAGUUGCGUAAGAAGCUGGAUUAAUUGGGUUGAUGUAUAAGAUACGAAUAACGAAUCAAUUAAUUAUGGAUUAGAAAGAGUAGCAUAUAUGACAUGUGGUUUUACUCGUUCUUCGUUGAAGGAUCCGUUGGCAUGCGAGUAGAAGUUGCAACUUACAAGGGACAGAAAUUCAAAACCCGGUAGCAACUAGCUAUACGGAGAGUAACGACCCAAAAAAAAAGACAUGCAUGAAAAAUACUUAAACGGAACAAUUAAUUGAAUGCAUGAAAACUACUAGUCGCACAAAAUGGCUAGCCCACCAUAUGUAUGGGCACUAGAGCUAGCUAGCAAGUGGCCGGGGAAAGAGCUAAAAUCGAUAUAAAUAUGCCUUGUUUUGUUCCUUUGAAAGGGAUUUUGAUCGAUCUUGAUGUGCUAAGUUGUCUGGUCGUGCCACCUAGCGAUCGAUCGAGAGCUAAGCUAGGCCAUUCGUACAUGUCGAUCAUCGAUCUCCGAAGAAUCUAAUACUAGCUGCGGCUUAAUUGGUACAUCGUCGAUCUCAUGGAAUAUUACAUAUGCGAUAGAUGCUUCUGAGUUCUGACGUACACGUACAUGUAUAUCGAUACUAACGAUCGAUUUGCAUACACUUACGUGCUAGUCCAACGAUCCUAAAUUCUUGUCUCAAAUUGUCAAAAUAUGGAUGUAUCUAUUCUUAAAAAACGUCUAAAUAUAUGUAAUAUUUUGACAACAAUUUAGAAUAUGAGGGAGCAGUGAUUAACAGGUGAUCCUCUUGAGUGGGUCUCCUAAUUAUUCCCAUGCAUGUUAAUCCCAUCAUAGUAAGAUCAGGUUCAGUGAUCAGCACGACGUACAUGCAUGUGUUGUUGAGGUAUAUUUUUUUAAUUCGUUUGUUAAGGGGUUAAUUAAGAUCGGUUGGGCGUGAUUUAAUCCUAGCUAGAUUCAGAGUGAUGGUAGUACUACGUACCGCUACUAAUUAAUUUCCCACUUUCUUAUAAGAAAAGAAAACCACAAAUUAAGCGGUGGGAAAAGGUACGGCGAAAGCAACAAGCCAACAAAAUGAACAAGAGAUAUGCAAACUACCAGCAUUUUUGUGUGUGUAUCCUUUGAGGAUAUGGGAAAUGUUUUGUUGAUAUUUUGAUGUAGUAGGCACAUAAAUUAUUGACGAGAUGAGGUGCAUUUAAUUAACACGAACGGACGCGUGAUUAAGGUAGGAGGGAACACGCUAAGUAACAUUGUUUAGGAUCGGUCGCACCGACGCACGUGAAUUAAGGUAGGAGGGAACCCACUAGCAAAUUUUAAUUAGGUGCAUGCAUGCAUCUCUCGAUCAUAUAUGCACCUAGAUUUUUAUAUGGAUCUUCACUUUAGGUUUUAGCUUGGCAAUUUUAUUUUAUUUUAUUUCGGAAUUCCCAUGAAGCUUAGCUAGCUGUUCAUCGUUUCUAAGCCACGGCAUAGAGAGGACCGAAGGACAUGUAAGCUUCAUUAAUGAGCAGGCAGUAGUACUAAGCUAGCCAGGAUGAGAUCUGACAGUCUAGGACGUAGGUAGGGUUGGGAUCCUGUCAGGUAGACGAAUUAGUAAGCCUUGGCUAGUCACAUCCUAAGGUGCUGUCAGUCAAGAAAAAGGUAAAUGAAGACGACGAAGAAACAAAGGUCGAUCAUAUCAGGGGUCAAACGCAGACUGUCAGCUUGUACUCCUAUUCAACACCUCCCCUGAUCUUCUUCCAGCUCGCGCGCCUUUUCACACACACACACAGGCAGCCAGGCAGAGACUUCCACGCACACAAAAAAGGCAUUUUGAAUUUCUAGCAGUUCCCAAAGUACUAUAGGUUUUAUGUAUGUCACAUGAGAGGCACAAUUCCUGGUUUUCUGAACGGUAUGAAUCCAGGCUUCCAUAGCUAGAUCAACAACAAUGAUGUUUAGUUCUGAGCAAACGAGUGUUUAGAGAGCUUGAAAUAAUGCCUUGUGUAAAAUUCUUGCAGUUGCUAGCAGCGAUCGACUAUCUUGUGCCUAAGGCCGUGUAAUUACAGAGGGAAAGUUUUGAACUCAAACUUGUAGAGCAUGUUUUCCACACUUUCACCUACUGCGCGCAGGUUGUACCGCAGGCCAAGCUUAAAUUCAGACAAGAAUAGCGUGUCAAACAAAAGAUGUCCAAAAGCCAAAAGGAAGAGGAAGCAAUGGUGUUCAUGUUAGUUACACUGCUGUCUUUCAGAAAAAAAAGGGGAAGAGUUUUUUAUUUGAAAGAGAAGCUUAUGCUAUAUAAUUAGGUUGGAGAAAGGCAGUUAAUAAGAUAUGGUGAUGGCCCCAUGGUUAAUUAGGCAUGGCCUCUCUUUCUUGGACAACAUCGAUCGACCCCUCCACAUUUCCAUCACCAAAUAUUAGUAACACGCACCUAAUAAAUAAUGCCGCAUUAAAAACACUAAUAAACUCCGCCUCCGUUGAACACGCAUGUGUGUCGACCGAAUAGAAGAAAGGAAAAGGAAAUCACGAAGCACCAACAGCAACCACAGGAUGGGGAACCUUGCAUGAUUACCUCCCUUUGAUUCAUGAUCGUUUGGUCUGAAAUUAAAGGGCGCCGACAUGUGGUCAACAUCAUGCCAUGCUGCGCCAAUUCACAAACCUUCAAUUAGCGGUGCGUCUUAGUACAGGAGUACUAGUUUCCUGGUCAAUAAGAUGCUUUGAGUAGGUACAACUUACUCCCUCUGUCAAAAAUAUACAAGGACAAAAAUUCUAACCUGGGACGUCUAAAAAUGCAAUAACAAUAACAAGUUGAUCCUUGAGAGUUGAGAUCCCAUCACUCGUCCCUAUGUACGUCGUUGCCAAAUUGAUUCACCACUUGCAUGAAACUGCAUUUUGUUGAGUUCAGCUUACUUAAGAAACAUAAGGCAACUUUGGGAGUAGAAAAAAAUAUUGAAAUUUGAGGCACCAUCUACCAUGGGGAAGAUAUUAAAAAAAAAGAGUACAGUAGUAAUAAGCCAAGCAGCACAUGUGGCAAGAAAAAAACAAAACCGUGGAAAAUAUCUGGAGAGAAGAAAAAGAGAGGGAGAUUUAAAAAAGGGGGAGAAAACGCCAAGGUGGGUGGAAGUCAAGGCAGCAAGGAAGAAAGAUCCAAGCUUGGCGUGCUCCAUUAAAAAGGCACUCUCAAUUCUUCUCAGGCCAAAACUAAACCUGCCCCCGGCCAGGCCGCGUCUUCUUCUUCUUCUUCCUCCAGACCUUCACGGGGUGGCCGGCGGCAGAGGUCGGAGGGCGAUGGGGCACGGGCUGAGCUGCGGCCGCGACGGCGAGGAGCACGAGUUCUUCCGGGCGGCGCAGUCCGGCGACGCCGACGCCAUGGACGGCCUCCUCGCCGGCGACCCGUCGCUGGCCCGCCGCGCCACCAUCUACGACCGGCUGACGCCGCUCCACGUGGCGGCCGCCAACGGGCACCUGGAGGCGGUGUCCCUGCUCCUGGACCGGGGGCGGGCGGCGCCGGACGCGCUGAGCCGGACCAAGCAGACGCCGCUCAUGCUCGCCGCCAUGCACGGCAAGCUCGACUGCGUCCUCCGCCUCCUCCACGCCGGCGCCAAUGUAAGUCAAGUCACAGCCGCCGCCAAUCCCAAUUCGACCCCUUCUUCUUCCUCUUCGUCUUCUACCUCGCGAUUUCGAUUCCUACCGAAUAAAACUUACUCUGUUUUUCUUCUCUUUGGUUUCAGAUCUUGAUGUUCGAUUCGGUGCACGCCAGGAGCUGCCUGCACCACGCGGCGUACUACGGCCACGGGGACUGCCUGGCGGCGAUCCUGGCGGCGGCGCGGACGGCGCCGGUGGCGGCGUCGUGGGGCUUCGCACGCUUCGUCAACGUCCGCGACGAGCACGGCGCCACGCCGCUCCACCUGGCGGCGAGGCACGGGCGCGCCGGGUGCGUGCACGCGCUCCUCGACGCCGGCGCCAUCGUGUCGGCGCCGACGGGGUCCUACGGGUUCCCCGGGAGCACGGCGCUGCACCUGGCGGCGCGCGGCGGGUCCCUGGAGUGCGUCAGGGAGCUGCUGGCGUGGGGCGCCGACAGGGUGCAGCGGGACUCGGCGGGGAGGAUCGCGUACGCGGUGGCCGUGAAGCGGCGGCAUGGCGGGUGCGCGGCGGCGCUGGACCCCGGCGCGGCGGAGCCCAUGGUGUGGCCGUCCCCGCUCAAGCUCGUCGCCGAGCUCGACGCCGGCGCCAGGGCGCUCCUCCAGGCCGCGCUCGCCGACGCCAACAAGAAGAUCCUCACACGCCUCAAGGCCUCCGGCAACACCUCCGCCGGCCGCGAGGAAGAAGAAGAAGAGGAAGAAGAGGAUGAGGAAUUGUGCAGCAUCUGCUUCGAACAGGCGUGCAGCAUGGAGGUGGAGGACUGCGGGCACCGGAUGUGCGCGGCGUGCACGCUGGCGCUCUGCUGCCACAGCAAGCCUAACCCGGCCACGUUCACCGCGAACCCGCCGGCGUGCCCGUUCUGCCGCACCUCCAUCUCCCGCCUCGUUGUCGCCGAGUCCAAGGCCAAGGCCAAGGCGGUGGCGAUCACCGGCGAUGAGCUUGAGGAGAAGGCGGCGGCGAUGGUGGGAUCGCCGCGGCUGAGCCGGAGGCGGUCCAGCAGCUUCAAGGGGCUGUCGUCCGCCGUGGUGGGGUCGCUGUCGUGCAAGAUCGGCCGCGGCUCCGGCAGGUUGGCCGGUGACAGCAACGGCGGCGGGGGCGGCUUCCUCGACAAGCCUGAGCACGACCCAUGAUCAUGAUGAAUGAAUGAGCGUGACAGAAGAAGAGAGCAUUUUGGAGCAGAGCAGUAGGCUCAAGUGAAGCAAAACUGCCGCCAUUUUUUUGUGAAGAUGGUCCCAGACGAUGAUCAUGGAACAACCGAGUUUCCCCAUUGCAUCCAUCAGAACUCGUGAUCAAGAUCCUGGCUGGGUACUACAUGGGUCAUCAAAAUAUCAAGGUUUUACCAUAUGGGCCGUUACCAUAUAUACUCGGUAGUGUAAUUUACAGCAUUAGCAGAUUAGGAAAUUGAAUUGUCAGUCUUGCGCUUGCUUAUUGGUUAUUUUUGGCUUGGCAUGUUUUGGUUUGAUCCAUUCCAUUGUAUUGUAGUACUAGUACUAUUGUAUUUGUAUGUAUGUACCAUCAUCAUUCAUGUUAUAGAGUCAAUCAUCCAUUGGCUAGAUUGCAAUGAGACGCCAAGUGGUUUUUUUUUUCUGGGUAGUACUCCAGUGACCAACUGAUCCAAGGAGCAUGUGAAUUGUAUACUGGAGAGCAAAGGUGUAGUACAAGUGAAACAUUUUUGUAAAGUUAUCAUGGGGCGCUGGGGAGCCGGGAAGCAUGGCGAUGGCAUGUGAGGUGAGAACAUGAGAGGGGGCAUAUCCCAUCCCAGCUUUGGCAUUUGUCUCAUGUUUAUGGAUGGACUCCAUCUUGGUGAAUGCAAUAGCAGUGUCAGCACUGCUCACUGCUCCCUGCCCUGCAGAGUUGGCAAAUCUAAUGGUGUAGCGCUAUCAUGUGGGCAUUGUUUUGUGUGGUUGUACCUGACAUGUCCUGCACACUGUGGAUCCUUAAUCACCAGGCUUAGCUACUGCUGCUUAAUGGUCUAUUUUUCUUGGUAAACCAAGAAGGAAGGGAGACUGAAAUGAGGGCAGUUGGGUGGUCCUGACCCAAGAUCCAACGGUGGUCAAUGCGUUCCAAAUCCAGGCGCAACAACAACUGGAAUCAUUCGCCGCAUUGGACCAUUCCAAGAAGAAGAAAGCUCCUAGUCCAGGGUACAGUAUAACUGUACAACUAGCAGCUGAGAUCCAUUUCCUUGAAAAAACUAAAUUUGAUCCAUUUCCUUUUGUUCCCAGAUCUUAAUCGAAACCGAGUUUUUUUUUUCUCAACUGAUCCAUAUGCAUGUUGUUGGUUGCACAACGCAACCUUAUAAGAUGAAAGAUGACUAAGAUCUGAAGCAUGGUCCUCUUAACUAACUAACCGUCCGAAAUAGGCCGUGAGCAGAGAAAAUUUAAGGGAGGGAGAAGCCAAUGGGCAAUGGCCACUCGCCAGUUGUUGUUUCUUUGUUUGACCAUCAUAUGGUGUUGGAGAAACUUGUACAACGAAUUCCAACAUCACAUGGCGUCAUAAGAUGCCAUGACCAAGUAGCACUUCAAUUCAUGCAUAUGACGGAAGCAGCUAGUGUAGAUAUUUACAAGGCCCUAUCAUUUGAGCAAUAAAUUUGGAGAUAAAAAGAAUCUCUGAUAAGUGUGAUGUGUGCCUUUUAUCUCUUUGUACUUAGUGCGGUGUCCACCUGCAUAAUUAGCACUCGGUCUGGCUUCUCUAUCUACACUAUCUAGCUGCCAGAAGAGCAGCCGCUAGGACCGGACUUUUCGGGUGACGCCGGAAAUUUGCGAGAAAUUUUUCAAUCUAGUUUGCACAUGAUUUGAGAAAGAAAAAAAAUUCCAGACGGGGUCAACACCGUCGCCAAAUGCAGCCAUUUUAUUAUUUGCAAUUAACCGGAUCCAGCAGUAAGAACAAAGAGUUGGAUUGUUCAAAGGGACACGGUAAUUGCCAUGCUGAGACUGAAGAUGUAUUUUUUUUUUUGAGCGGGGAAGAUGUUUACCUGUCAGGAUGACAUGAAAAGUUGAAAACCGUGUUCCAGGAGUGAAAGCUGGGACAUCAAAUAGGUCCUGCUUCGUCAGUCUCUUCUUACCUUCCACCGGAUGAGCUUCUCUGCAAACAAAAGGAUGGCUUCCUUCCUCUGUCACAAGGAGAAGACUGGGGGGUCACUGUCAGGUUAGAUCGUUAGAUACACCAUACAGGAAAGAACAGAAAAACUAAAUACAUUAAUACAGGUCGGGUGAAGAGUUUUUUUCUCGCUGCAAAUGCACAAUUCCUAGUAUAUAUUUCAACGGUUCACAAGUACAUGUGUGAAUCAAAUCUGGGCGACAUUCGACCGAGUAAAUCAUCGAAAUGCUAAAGCGGAAAACAUUGUCAUUCUUCCUUGUACGCCUGGCUGAGAAUGGCAUUGUGGCAUGUCGGGUUGCAGGGGUAUUCACAGUCUAUUUCCUUCACCUCUCUCCGGUUAAAGAACCAGUCUCCCACUGAUUCAGCGAUGGUCUGUUCAUUGGAAUUGAAAUUGGAUUAGUAUAUCAGUAACUGACCGCAGAACCACCAGUGUGUUGUGACAGUAAAACUAUAUCACUAGUUUCAAAAAGAGUAGCUUGUUCAAAGUUCAGGGUUAUGUUCAAAAUGCCGGCUGUCAAUAGAUCAAGCUAUAUUAUGAAAUGGAAACUAUAGCAUCGCAGCACUAUUACUGCUCAGAUACAGAGCGGUGGGGGUUACCUUGCCAUUCAUUCUAGGGCCAGAUGGAGAGUGCCAAGUCAAGGCAUUCAUUGACUGACAGUGUAUAAAGCAGGAGUUGAUGAACAUGCCCCAGUCUUUUCUCUUCUUGUAUUCACUUAUAGCAUCAAGCAACUCUUUUCGGAAACCUGCAAAAACUUAUACUCGUUAAGCUGGCAUGCACACAUGUGACAUGGAAGCGACAUGUGUUAUCAAGAAGAAGGCGUGAGUGCAUAUCAUGAGUUUGCUCUAUUAUGACCUUGUAGAGUUUCAAGCUGUUUAGAAUCACAUUUAGUAAUAUCCAAUCUGCAACUUUCCCACAAACGUUCGGUGUCAGACCCUUCUGGAGACAAAACAUGUUCAACCUGGAAAACAGAAGAGUGGCAACAAUAUAUCAUGUUCAUGUUGAUGUUGUAACAGGACAUUGAAAUGUUUUUGAAAGAUAUGGAUAACUGUACCUGCCAAACAUCAUAUGCUGGAUUGAGAAUGAACAUUGGGGUGCUGAUGCCUUUUGCAACUUCGCGUGGAAAAAUACACUGGCAGGCACAUAAAAUUAAGGAGCACUACUUAGCAUGCAUGAGGUCGAACAGUAAUGACUAAACCAAUGAUACUACUACUAAACUAUCAAAUGGCAACAAACGAAAGGAUAACCUGCCCUGGCUCCAUAUUUGAACUGCAACGAGGAAACUUUUUCCGCAGAUCCUGCAACAAAUUGUUCAGAAAAGACAUGAAACUUGCAGAUAAGACUAAUACAAUAAAAGGAGGUCCAUUGGAGGGGGGAGAGCUCUAUUGUCCUAGGGACAGGGACAGGGAGAGACCUGUAGGCGAGCAACAUCAUUGUAAAAUCCCCGCAUAUACCUUCUCCCAGAAACGUCUUCUCUGCAAUGAACCAAAGGGAAGGACCAGUCAAAACAGAGCGAGCAGUGCUUGUGGAUUGCUUAUGGGUAGUCCCUCAAGAGAAGUAUUAUGUUAGGCUGUGCAUAUGUUAACUACCGAAGUGGAAGUGUGAAUUAUGGUUACAGGAUAUCAUGUUAAAUGUCAGAAACCAGAAGCAUGCACAGCGAACUCACUGAACCAGCUGAUUCGUCUCGGGUGCACACAUGAUUCUCUCUUUUGGCUAGUUUUUACAAUUGGUUUAAAAUAUAAACAUUUAGGCAUCCAAAACUAACAUCAAGAUGAGGUUUUCAAAAGGUUCCAUGUGACAACUGAGUAGUGUCACAUGCUUAGACUGAACUGAAGCAGAUAUCAGUAUGAAUAAAUUAAUGCAUGUAUACGUUAGAACAGUCAAAUAGGGAGGAGGGGGUGGGGAUUGGGGAAAUACAACUUAAGAAAAAUAAAAUCAAGCACAUACACGUCAAGAAAAAAACCACCAUCCGCAAGACACUUAACAGUAGAUGCCUUUGGUACAAGGGCACGAAAGUCAUCACAGUGAAUGUAAGUGGAUAGACCCCCAGCCGAGCACCCCGUUAGAAAAGCCUGAAAUUGUAGGAAAUUAAGAGUUUUAAGAAAUCACAACAAAAGAAUCUUUGAUGCAUUCAUGGAGAAGUGAUAUCAUCAUAUCAAUAGAAAAGAUGAAGAAAAAACACUGUGUUAUCUAGCGACUGAUUAUCAUAUCAAUAGAAAGGCUGCCAAUCUAUGUCUUAUUUUCUUUGGGGGCUGGGGCGAAAAGUUGUUGGUGUGAUCAGUACGAGUGGUCUUUUUAUGGCAAUGAUAAGAAAUCUUGGGACUCAUGCAUGGUUCAAAUUCCAACAUUGCUUCUAUCUCUAACCCAGAUUUCCAUAAUCACACCUAUUUUUGUAGGAAGGCUACCUCUUUAGCACGGGAUAGACCCUUCGAUAGAAGUUCACUCAUAACUGCUUCCCAGAUACGCUGACCUCUGAAGAAGAAACUGGUGCCAUCCUGUAUAGAUUACAGAGGAUUACUCAGAAUAUCUGCCACGCAAUUGAACUGUAUGAAACAGGACUUGAGAAGUAGAUUACAGAAUGUUCUCCAAACCUGUAAUUCCUCUUCAACGUUUCCAGAAAACGAAGCUCCAUCACAAUACCUUACCUUCACUUUAUUCCAAUUGUAAAAAUCUGAAGGUUUAAAUGAAAUAUUUCUGAGUGGAUGACAAAGUGUAGUUGCUAUGUGAAGACUAUUUUCCAAGAUAUUACUGAAGGAAAGACUCCUCAAAUACGAACAGAACAACCAAGAUAAUACAGUGUUUGCAACGUCCAUUCCAGUCUGAAAGAGUGAAAGUUACUCAAAGUAAAUCAGUAAUGAUCCUGAUAUUGGAUAUUUACCGGGCUGAUCAGAAAUCGAAAAGAAAAGAAAAACUAGAAUGCAGGUAAGGGAGCAGUGUAAACUGUUCACUUAUGCACUGAAGUGCAGAACAUUGAAGCUAGACAUUCUCUUUUUAUUCUAACUAACUUUGCAAACUUUUGUUAUAUCUAUCUAUCCACACGUAAAAGCAUGUAAAUUACAAGGUAGAAAGUGCCUGCUUAGAAUCUUUCAAGCUUUUCCUCAAAAAAAAUUUAUCUUUCAAGCACAGAAUACUGUCAUCAAACAGAGUUUAACGGUGGGUUGCACAUUCAGGCAGCAGCGGCUCCUGUAAAACACCAAAAUGUGUACCUGGAUUCUGCAAUUCAUCGUCGCUCAAGAUGCCAACGAACUCGGCCCGUCUCUCCAUGUAUGCGGAGGAACCAAGACUAGUCUUCUUACGCUGGGCACACCAUGUCAAAUUCCUGCACCAGCUUCCACCCUGGAGCUCAAGAACAAAAGCUUCAGCCAUCUCCAUUGAGGUGCAAGAUCAAACAGACAAACAGAAAAUGUGUCUAUUUACCUCCAAGUGGAGGAGCCAUUUGUCGGAUCCAUCCCCGAAUCCCGGGAGCCAAUGGUAUCCAGGCGGCGUCCCAUCCAAGCACACUGCGGAGAGCGUGCAAAUCAGUGAGCAUAUAAGAAACCCUAGCAAGAAGAGAAAGAGUUGAUCGAGCAAGGUGGCUGCGCCUACCUGCGCCCUUGUCCUUGGCGCCGUCGACGAGGGUGAGGUCGACGAGCGUGGGGAGGCGGUGGCCGUAGGACGGGGAGGUGGAAGAAGAGGUGGAUGGGACGGAAGCGUAGCGGGAGAGGGUGAGGAAGAAGGCGGCGGCGAGGAGCGCGGCCCCGAAUGCCGCCCCGGCGGCGCCGCGGCGGCCGAGCCGGCGCCACCAGAGGCGCAGCUGGUGCGUCGCCGGCGCGGAGGCGGUGGAGAGAGGCGGCAUGAGCAGCAGCAGGUUGGUGACGAGGAGCAGGAGCAGCAAGUGGUUGGUGGAUCUGGCGACAUCGGCGACGACUUUUUUGUUUAAGCGAAGCGGCGUGGGUCUUACAAUACUGUAUUUAUUCAGGGAGUGCCGCCGGCCGCCGCAGUGGAGUGGAGCGGGACGCGCGAGCAAUGGCGCCGGCGUUUCCGAAUCUGGAUCGGCGGUCGGUUUCGCCGGUGGCGGCGGUUUGCAAUCUCUUGCCGCCGCCGCCGGUGGCGAUGCAAACCCGGGCCGCGUAGCGCUGGCUUACAGGUGGGCUCCACCUGUAAGGGAGCGUUGCGAGGGGGCGAAUGGAAAUUUCAAAUAUUCGAAGUCUAUUGCAUCUUUAAGUUUGAAUUUUCGCUAUUAUAGCUUAGCUUGGAUUUGCGUGGGGAAACACUUGAAAAAUUGAAAUAUUUUUUCUUGGUUCAAGCAAACACUCGACACAACAAAAAAUUCAAAAAUACCAUGGAGUAGAAAAUUAUGCUCAAGUUCAAUUUUGGUGUCAUUAGGAGAAACGGAAUGGACGGAUUUUGGUGUCAUUAGGAGAAAAUUAUCAUUAUUCUUCACUCUGAUGGACAAUACAACACGAUGAUUGCUUGCUGGGUUUGAUUUUGCUUUGAAUCUUUACAUCGUAAAUUUGGCGAUAUGUCCCACUUUACUUUGGAAUUUGAUCAUAUUCUUAGACAGUAAACAAAUAUCACCGAGGCAGCCGGCUGCUGCAUGUGGGGUUGCAGGGAUAUUGGCAGUCAAUCUCCCUCACUCUUUUGCUCCUUCCAAAGUACCAAUUUCCGACAGCCUCUGCAAUGCUCUGCACCGCAAAAAUUGAAAUGAAAACUUAUCAUACCAACUCAAGUUUGAACACAAUUCAUCAAAGAUAACACGGAUAAUGGCAGCGGCGAUUUUAGAGCUACAACAAUUUUCUGUGGUUUUCUGGAUCCCCUGCUAACCUCGUUUCCGAGCCUCGGGGAGAUUGGUGAGUUCCAUGAGAUUCCAAAAAGAGUCUGGCAGUGGGUGAAGCAGGAGUCGAUGAACAGGCCCCAAUCUUGCUUAUCUUCGACGACCAACUUCAAGUCAUCGACCAUGGCGUUCCUGAAUCCUGUUGACGGCGAGGAGCAAAUAAUAACAUGUAACUGUUCCAGAAAAACAUAAAAGGGAAGAUGAUGAAGUAGUAACAUGACAGAGGGAAAUGAACAAGGUAUGCUAACCAUGCAGGACUUCAAUCUGUGUGGAGUUGCAGUUUAUUAUGUUGCCCUUGCAACUCAGCCAGGACUUGUCAGGAGCAGAUGAACCUGGCACAAGAACAUUCUGUAUCUGCAGCGAUCGAUGAACCGUGCGUGUCCAUGGGGAUUUAGACAGGAAGAAUUUUAGCAUGGAGAAGUGGAAUAGUUAUAAAAUGUGGAAGAGAAGAAAUUACCUGCCAUGAAUCAUAUGCAGAGUUGAGAAUAAACAUUGGGGUGCGGAUGCUCUUGAUAAUCUCUGCCGGGAAGAAACACUAGGAGCAACAUAAUGUCAGCGAAUGAAUUACAUGAUGACAGACAUAAUAAGCAAAUCGAAUUUCACAAUGGGAGACUACUACCUCUGUCGGCUCCUUGCUGGCAAGGCAGUCCUUGGGCAACACUUGUUUAACAUUCUGCAAUAGAUAAAAAAAACAGAUGGAAAGACAAAAAAUCAGAAUAGUUCCUUUUACAAAGCUUUUUCCUAGUAAUCAGUAGUCACACGCUUUGGAGAAGUGCAAAAGGGAUUAGAAGAUGACCAAAAAGACUUGAUUAUGAAAUUCAUGUUUUUUAAACAAGCUCCAAGCAUGUCCACAGCUUACCUGGAGGUGAACAACUCCAUCGUAGACAGACCAAAAGGACCUUUCUCCAGAUAUGUCCUUCCUGCCAAAGAAAAGUGGUAGAGCACUUGAGUUUAGUUCAGGUAGGCAUUUAAAAUGAGGGUUACAUUUACUUCCAAGCAGUCUUACGCGUCAAGAAAAAACCCGGCAUCGGGAAGGCAUUUAACUGAAACUUUGUGUGGAAACCGUGCGCUAAAAUCAUCGCAAUGCAGUAUCGUAGCAAGACCACCAGCAGAACAGCCUGUAAGGAGGGCCUGAAAUUGUGUGUACACAAUGAGACAUGGAAAUCACAAGAAUAACGAGUGGUUCUUGUUAAAAUCAUAUGGAGCUGGUAACUGAAUCAAAUUAAGUGUAUGACCUGUGUGGCGUUGGCGAGUCCUUUUCCCAUGAGUUCAUCGAUGACCGCUUCGUAGACGCGCAAUCCUCUGAAGUGGAGUGUGGUUCCAUCCUACGUAUCAUUAACAAACAGCACAUGACCUGAAGCAACCAACACAUGGUCAUUGGAUCAGCAUUCAGAUUUCAGGAAAAAAGAUCACUCACCUGAGCUUGACCUUCCGAAUCCCCAGAAAACGACCCCCCGUCGCAGUACCUUACAUAGGCUCUGUUCCAGUUGUAAAAAUCUAGCAAUGCAGUGGUCAAAAUUAGCUUAAGUAGGUAUAUCAAACAAGUUAUAAAGGGUAGUUUAUACAAACGAACAGUAAAGAGAAACAUACAAAAAAAAU